UUUUUUUUUUUUUUUACUUACAAGUAUUGGAGAGAAUUCAUUGUGAACAAAGCACUUGGAAUUUCGCCUGUUAAGUUGUUAAAACUCAAAUCUCUGAAACAGACAAAAAUUAGAAACAUAAAGCAAGCAAAUAUAGCACUUAACUUUUAAAUAAAACUCACAGUUUUUGUAAAGAUUGUAAUUCCGUGAUAUAAGAUGGUAAAGUACCCCUAAGCAACACAUUUCUUAGAACCCUAUAGGAAAAACAAGUACAUUAAUUCAUAAAUUUAUAUAAAUACAUGGCUAAUGUAUUAAAUAAGCCUUUAAACUUUAUCAUAUAUAAGCUUUAUACUUUUCUUACAUCCAAAUAACCCCUUUCAACUUUAAUUGGUACAUAAAUAAACUCUCAAAUUUAAAUAAAAAAACUUUUAUUAAAUUAUUUUUAAUUAUAAUUGCUUUAGAAUUCAACUAAUCAAAACAUAAUAUAAAAAAUGACAUGCAAUGUUAAAAUUUAUAUAAAAAUAAAGUUGGUAUAUACUUAUUGUUAUAUACUACAAUUAAGCUUUUAAUGAAGUUGGUAUCAUUAGUUUACCGGACACAAUUCAAUAGAAAAAUGAUAAAAGGACACAUUUUUUUAUUAAGUAAUAAAUAUAACUAUGAAGAUAUUUUUAUCUUCUAUCUUUUAUGUCAAUAAAAAUCUGUUUAACCCUAGAAUAAAUUUAUAAGAAUAAUCACAUAUGAUAGAUUUAAACUUGAGGAAACUUUAAAGUUUUAAUUUUAUCAUUUCAACUUUAAAGAUUUAAUUAUAUAUAUUUUGUUUGGUUUAAAUUGUGGGUAUGUUAUAAUCUAAUAUUAAAUAUUUUUUUAUAUAUAAAUUAAAGGUUAAGAGCUUAUUUCGAUACAAUACAAGUUAAAAGCUGAAGGGCUUAUAUGGAUACCAAUUAAAGUUCUAAAGACUUAGUUGGGCGUAAAAAAAGAUAUAAGGGCUUAUUCAAAAAAAAUGAUAAAUUUCAAGUACUUAUUUAGUAUAUUAGCCAAAAAGAGAAUAGAUUAAUAUAAGUAAACGUAUGCACUCACAAGUCAGUCAGGUUCUUUAGAUUUCUUACAAAGUCAAGAGAAGAACUCCCAUUGUAUAUACCGCCAAUUCUCCUACAUGAUGUACGAGCUUAAGAUUACAAUACAUGUAUACAUAUGUGUAUACAUGCACGUAUCAAGCAUGAAUAUGUAGACAAAGGAAGAGAGUCCACCAGUGGUAGGGAGGAGAUACUAUUAGAAAAGUAAGAUAUCUCUACUUACAAAGAAACCAAUGAGGUUAAAUUCGCAAAACUGGAUGGUAUUGGUCCUUGAAAAGAGUUCCCUUCAAUUCUCCUGUAUAAACAUUUGACAAACAAGUCAAUCAUAUGAAAAAUUAAGGUAAAAGCUAUCAUUCUUGAUGUCUUAUUCAUAAAGAACUUAUAUGAAGAUUAUAACAAAGAUGUUUCGAUAAAUUACAAUGAUGUAAGCUUCGUCCAGUUAUUGCCAAUAAAGUCCGGUAUUUUGCCUGUGAAUGCAGCAUCAGAUGCCCACCUAAAAUUCAACAAAGCUUACUGUUAGAUAAGGUAGACAAUUUGCAGGAGCAGGAAAUAGAAAAGGUCUUUCUUACACAAUUUCCAGGUUUUCAAGGUUGGCAAAUGUUGAGGGAAUCUCACCAACUAAUCCACAACUGUUAAUGUAUCUGUCAAAAUUCAUAAAAUAAUCAUUGUCAUAAUUUCAUAUGGUAGCCUGGAAACUUAAUCAUGCACAUUCCCCACAAAGAAAUAACUUACAUUUGCUGAAGUUUGACUAAACUACCAAGUUCUGGAGGCAAUGUUCCAGAGAAGUUGUUAUUACCAAAAGACCUGCAUUACGUUGAUCCACAUAUAAUUUCGUUUGAAGAAACUUGAAAUUAAAAAUAAUGAAAAGGCAUUUUUAUUUCUUCAUAAAUUAUAUCCUUAAUUUUAAUAGAGAGAAGUUUAGAUUCAUAUGGUAUUGAUGCAACAACACUAUUACGGUAUUACGCUUCCAAUCAGAAGUUUUCAAUUAUUAAUCCUUUAAAGGACAUAUAAUAGUAUUUACGAGUAAAAAUUUUCUCAAGAACACCACUAUUCGAUCCUUCACAUGGCCAUGGAAACAGAAAAGAUUUCAUUGGGACUACUUUUCAGUUCUUACAGUAAAUAUAACUCCUUAAGGUUUCCAAGCUCCUGUGGAAUGGAUCCAGAGAAAACGUUGUGGGCAACUGACCUAUACAAAUAAAUAAACCAAAGAAAUUAGCCAACAAGUAAUGUAAAAAAAAUGAAAAAUAUACAAAGAAGGGUUUCCUAUUCCAGUAUGUCAGAAAAGCCAUUGUUUGUCAUACAGGAAGGGUUCGUGGUUUUCCACAUUAACAGUGUUGCAAUGUAACUUAUAAUUGCACCAUUUUCUUAUUAAUUAUUAGCUAUUGUUAUUUCAAAACUUGUUCUUAAUAUACACCAAAAAAUAAAAUGCUUUUAUCAAAAUAUGUUUGCGCACUCACAGUAACCCUAGUCUAGACAUAUUUCCAAUAAAUGCUGGCAAAGGACCAGAGAAGAAGUUUAAAUCAAUCUUCCUGCAUUGUGAAACAAUAUAAAUGAUUAUCAUCAGUUACUGUAAACAUUAUAAAAUAUGUGCUCAUUUGGAAAAUCAACAUUGGCUUAUGAAGAUCAAAAGUGGGAAAACAUUCUUACAAGAAUGUCAGAUAAGGCAAAUCCAAAAGCUCCUCUGGUAAUUCUCCUCGUUUAUCUAGACCAUAUACCCUCCUGAUAAAAGUGUUCAAAAACAUGUAAAGUAAUAAUACAGAUGAUAUAUUAAUUAUUAUAAACUUCCCAACAAAAGCCCUUUAGUAAUGAAGAUCUAUGUUGUUGAAAAACCACGUGCUUCAACUUUUCUUUACCCUCAAUAUUGAAGAACCAUUUCAACUUAUUACUAAUUAACAUGAAUGGGGUAGCUUUUGAAUUGUUAUACUAUAAUGAUAAAAAUGGUUUAAAAGUAUUGCAGAAGAGUAAGAGUGCAAGAAGCAUACAGCCGAGUAAUAUGGCAAACAGUACUAGCGUUGAAAGAACAAUCACAUCUGAUAGCAGGGUUAUUAGAAGGAUCCUCAAACACAGAAUCAUCUUGGCUGAGAGCAGAUCCACUGCAUGGGUCUCCAGUGGUGUUCCAUGAAUCCACUGCUUGUACAUCCCAUUGUUGGAAGAUUGAAUUCAAUGCCCUUACUAUUUCCCCAUUCAUUAAACAAUUGGCAAAAGAAAAAAGAAAUCAUGUUAAGUGAUUACCAUUUUUCAAAAUUCAUAAUUACUAUUAACAUUAAUAAUCAGAAAAAAUAAAUUAAAUAACACUUACUAUAAAUUUGGUUAGUUUAAAUUUUUAAAAUUGUUUUUGUUAAGUUUGUGUGACUCAAAUUUUUGUUAAAAAAAUGUCAGGAUAGAGGGAUCUAUGGGGCGGUACGGUACAGACUACGUUAUUCUAUUAGAUUUUGAUUAGAAUUAGGUUUUUCUCACCUAAAAUCUUUGUAUUCUAUUUUUUUUCUUUUUUGUGAUUCAUUGUUAUUAUCAACAUUCGAUUUUCACAUUUUUCACAAAUGUUUUGUAAAACUAGAAAAGUUGAAUACAAAAAACUUGGUUCAAAUCCAUUUUCAAUGUAUUAAAUUUUUAUUUUAUUUCUCAUAUUUCAAUUAUAAGAAAAUACGUAGUAAACAUGUUUUUUUUUCUAUUUUUAUUAUUUAAAAUAAUUUUUUAUUUCUAUUUAUCAAAUGUAUUUUUUUUCAAUUUAAAAAUGUAAAAAUGAAAAUAAAAAUAAAAGUUAUUUUUUAGAAAACAAACUGAGGCUAAAAGAUGCCAAGACCUUCGCCAUGCUAUUAUGCUACGACCUCGUUAACUAAAAUAUAUUUAUAUUUAAUCAAAGAUUUAAUUGGUUUUAUGAAAAAUGGCUAUAAUUGCUAUAGUUUUUUCAUAUAAUUAAUUAUUUGGAUAAAUUUUAAAACUAUAUAUAAAUUUUGUUUUAAUAGUAAUGUGAUACAUAAAUUUUAAUUUGAUGUUGAUAUGAGCUUAAGUGGAUUUUAGAUAUUUAUUUUAAUUUAAGAUUUUUAUUAAAAGUUUUAUAUUUAAUUAUUAGAAACAUAUUGUAAAUAGAACUCUUUAGUUAGAGAAGUUAAUUUAGGAGAUUUAAUUUUAUAAAAUCAAAUUUUAAUUAGUUUUCAGGAGUUAAUAUUUACUUUAAACUUUAGCAUAUUAAUGCUUCGAAACUUGGCUAUUAGCUUUUCUUUUCGAUUUCGAUUCAUCCUUUUUUUCUAAGGAUUUCAUAAUUGGACAUUGAACUCAUUUCAUAUGAUGGGAGUUGACGGUGUAUUGGGCGCGGCUCUGCUAUGUGCUAUUCAUGGUGCUACCUUAGAGAAUACUUUAUUUGAAGAUGGUGAUGAUGCAAAUAUAUUCCGUGCUUUUAACCUAACUCAAGCCGAAGAAACUUAUUCAAUGGUCACCGCUAACCGCUUUUGGUCCCAAAUCUUUAGGGUUGCUUUUUCCAAUAAACGUUGGUUACAUUUCUUUAUGUUAUUUGUAUCAGUAACCGAUUUAUGGAUGAGUGCUCUUGGAGUAGUCGGUCUGGCUCUAAACCUACGUGCUUAUGACUUUGUUUCCCAGGAAAUCUAUACAGCAGAAAAUCUUGAAUUUGAGACUUUCUACACCAAAAAUAUUCUUUUAAACGAAGGUAUCUGUGCUUGGAUGGCAGCUCAAGAUCAGCCUCAUGAAAACCUUCUAUUCUAUAACAGCUUGAUUUUUAGUGGUGUCAGAAAUAAUAGUUCGAGGCCACCAAAUUCGACGAUUAAGCUCGUAAAUUAUAUUAUUUAGUAUUUACGAGUCAAAUGUGAUUUUAGAAAUAUUUUUUUUGAAUUAGUGAUUUGUGUUUUAUAAGGACUUAUUAGGUUAAAUGGUUUAGAAAACGAGGUAUCGAAACUUCAAUUUUAUAAACCAAGCUGUAAAUAUUUAUAAAAAUAUUUAAGGAGAGUCAUUAAGGUAGUAUUAAAGUUUCGUUAAAAAAUUUUAACGUUUUGAUAGUUAAUUAAUUAAAAAGGACUAAAUAAAAAAAGGUGCAAAACUUGCUAAUUAAAGAAAUAGUGAUUAAAUAGCCCAAAUGAUAAAUAAGGGAGGACCAAAAGGGAAAACUGACACACAAGGGAUGUCUGAGGCGGCAUAUGCAGAAAAAAAAAACAUGAAAUUAGGUGAAACAAGGGCAAAAUGGAAAUUAAAAUUGAAAUUAAAAUAGCUAAAAUGAGAUUUAAUAGUUUCUAGGCAAUUCUUCAUCAAUCUUCAGCCUAAAAACACCAUUGUAGAACCCUUAAGAAGCUUAUUUUCAUAUUUUGUUACAAGUGAGUUCAAUUCUUGUCUUUUUAUUAGAAUUUUUAUGUUUUUAAUACUUUUACAAUUAGGUCCAACAAUCUAUUUCAUUAGUUUUUUAUUUUAUUGGAAAUUUUGGAAGUUACCAUUGAUGAAUAUAGAAUGUAUUAGAUGAAUAAACAUGAUUUAGAGCUUUAAUUUUGUUAUUUGAUGAUUUUAUGAAGUGAUUUUGUUAAAUAUUAUUUUAAGAUCAAAUUGUGAAAAGGUUAAGUAUUAGGGUUUGGUAUUAAAUUUAUGUUUACUAAGGGCUGUAUGAUAGCCUAGAAUAUUUAGAUAAAUUUUCAAUUGAGAAAAAUUAGUUCAUUUGAUAGACUAAUUAGUAAAGGGACAAAAUUGUAAAAGUUGUAAAAGUUGGGGUAAUUAAUUUUCAAAAUUGAGGGGUAUUAAGUGUGAUGUGAAUUGGAACUAAAAUAUAUGCUAAUGAAUGAAUAAUUUCAUAUUUUAGACUAAGAGCCCGUAGAUAAUCGUGAAAAAGAAAAAUUAGCAAAAUAGCCCCUAAACUUUUACAAAUCUUACAAUUUAACCAAGGUAAGUUCGUAUGGUUAAAGUUUAAUAUUAUAUUGAAUUGAUGUAUGAUAUUAUGUAUUUAGUAUAUUGUUGUAAAAUGGAAUAUUGUUAAAUUAUGAAUUUGAAGUGAAUAUCCAAUUUAAAUGGAACGCGGGAUUGAGUACAAUCGUUGUGUGGAGAUCAGCAAAGGAAGAAUUGACGGAAAAUUACCCAAGUAAACUGAGGUUCAGCAUUUGUUACGAAUUUUCGUGUUUAUUUUCAGUUUAACUCUCACGAGCUUCUGUUUAACUGAUAUGGGUUUCCAUUCAGCCCUAAUGGGUUUCCGUUUAUCUAUUUUAAGCUUCUGUUUAACCCUUACGGGUUUCUGUUAAGUUCUUAUAAGCUUCCGUUCAACCCUUACGGGUUUCUGUUUAGCCUUCGGAUUUCUGAAAAUGAUGUGCUCAUAUCUGUAAGCCGUUCUCCGAUCAGGUAAGAUUUGAUAAAUGACUUAUGUAAUUAAAAUUAAAAGAUUUAUUAUUUAUUAUUGAUAUUAAUUUGAAAGAAGUUUGUUCAUCGAUUUAUGUUGUGUUUAACAGGGAAAGUGCAUGAUUAAUUUACUAUUUAAUGUAUUAUAUUAAGUUCGGUAAGAUUUAUGUUUAAUCUAUCGAACUUAUUAAGCUUCAUUAAGUUUACUUGUGUUGUUUAAUGUUCUUGUAGAUUAAUGUAAGGUUGGGAGAUCGAAUCAACACAUCAAGCCACACUAUCCAACUUAAUCUGUUAUAUUUUGCAACGUGUACUAAGGUUUAUAUGGCAUGUAUAGGGUUGGAAUGGUUUUGAGUAUAGUUGGUUUGUGUAAAUGUUAUGAGUUACAUUUUGUUUAUAUUUCCAAUCAACUUAUGUAAGUAUGCUUUAAUCAUACUUGAUGUGUGUUUGAAAUGGUUAAAUGAUGGUAUUCAAUAGGCAUAUUGAGGCAUGGUUUGAGCUAGUGAAUUUAGUAAAAUAUGCAUAUAUGUGUAUAUGGUUAAUUUGGCAAGAUUGGAUAUUUGAACAUAUGUGAUGAUAUGUUAGGUAUAAAACUUGGUUUUAGCUUGAAUUGAAAGUCUUAUUGUGAUUCGUGAAUGUGCAAAUGGUUGUGCUUAGGUUGAUACAAAGAUUGGGUGAGAAAAGAGGCCAUAAAAUGACCUAUUUUCGUCUACAAGGGCAUGUGUCUCAGUCGUGUGUGACACACGGCCUAGCACAUUGGUGUAUGGUCUGGCCGUGUGUCCUUUACAUCUUUAAAAUUGAUAACAGAAUGCCCAAGUUUUUGCACACGGCCUAGUACACUGGCGUGUGGCUUGGCCGUGUGACCUCUACACCUUAAUUUCAUAACACACGGCCUAGCACACGGGUGUGUGACUUGGCCGUGUGACCCAAGUCAGAGAAUUACACGGGCAUAGACACAGGUUGGGACAUACCCGUGUGCCUCACAUUGAAUGCCCACAUGGCCUAAGACACAGGUGUGUCUUUUGGCCGUGUGAGCCACACGGCCUGGCCACACUGGCGUGUGACCUCUGUACUUAAGGGAAAAUUUUAGAAUUUUAAGAGAAAUUCUCUGAGUUUUCAGUUUAGUCCCAACUUAUUUCUAAUAAGUAUUUUGGGCCCUGAGGGCUCGUCCAAGGGACAAUAUGAAUGAUUUAUGAAUAGUUUCUGUUAUGUAUGUUAAAUGAUCUGAGAUAUUUGUUUUUUAUUUGAAAAGUAAUGCUUCGUAAGCUUAUUUCGAAGACGGAUAAGGGUUAGGGGUGUUACAUAUUCCCUGAGGAGGUUCUAUCCCGUGGAAACGCUUUUUAAUGGAACUUGAGAGAUUUCAUUUUGUUUAUUCAUUCAAGGUUGAGAUUUAAGAGAUUCACCUUGUUUACUUAUUAUCCAUGUUUCUAAGUAGAAGUCAUUUAGGGGUGUGGUAAAGGGCCAUUCAAUUAUCGUUGUUACUAGUCACAAAUUGAUUAGAGGUGGCGUAGGAUAAAUUACCUUCAAAAGCAUAUUGUCUCAUCAAUUUGCUAAAUUUGUUUAUUGCCUUAUUAUCCAUGUCUCUAGGUACAUGUUAUUUAGGAGUGUGGUAGGAAGUUAUCUGAUUAUCGUUGUUGCUAAUCACAAGUUAAUUAGUGGGGUAAGAUAAAUUAUCUCUUGUUUUUACAUCAAAAGUAUGUUCACUUGUUGAUUUGCUAAAUUUGAAAAUAUGAGAUUUUUUUAAAUCCUAAAUUUCACAUUAUUUAAUAUUCAAGGCUUUGGUUUAAGUGUUAAAAAAAGCGUCUUUCGUGAAUCCCAUGUGAUGGUCUGAUGGUUAAAGGUAUUUAUCGUCCUACGUGUGACUUGGGUUUGAGUCACGUCAGUCACAUUGGUUAUUCGAGCUUAAUGUAAAAUUUCUAAAGAUAUUGGUAAACUUAAAAAGUUAUUUUUUAAAAUAGUUUUAAAAUCUACUAUGUUGUAAAAUUGUAAGUUGAAAUUUUAAAUUAUUAAAUAUAAGUAAAUUAAAAGAAUUUAUUAUGUAAAAUUAUGUGAUUAUUGAAACUGUUGGUGAGUUUUAUGAAUAGGGAUUUGUGAGGGCUUGAAUGGUGGUUGGGGAAUGAUGUUUGUAACAGCCCGUUUUUAAUGAAAUCGAAACAGUAAUUUCGGGACCACGAAUCCGAGCCAAAAAGAAAAUUAUUUUAAUAUUAGGGCACGAUCUAUAUUAUAAUAGGAAUAACAUAUGAAAAUUUCAUUAAGAAAAUUUUACCGAAUACAUGUCUAAUUUAAUAAAGGACUAAAUUGCAUAAAAUACAAAAGUUGAGUUCUAGUAGCUAUAAGCAUCAAAUAGUAAUGAAAUUCAAAAUUUGAGGUCCUUAUAUGGCAAAUGGACCAUUAAGAGAAGUUAGUAGAUAAAUUUGAUGAAUCAUCCAUGGAAAAUUAGAAAAAGAAAAAGACUAAAUUGGAAAUUGAAAUAAUCAAAGAUGAUAAUAAACUAAUAUCAUCUUAUUUCAUCAUUUUCCCCAAAAUUAAAAUACAUGGAAACCGUAGCUAAGAGAAAAAAGUUCAAGCAAACUUUGUUGGCUUAAUUAGGUAUGUUUUCUUGUCCUGUUUUUAGUAAUUUUUAUAUUUUCGAGAUCGUAGUAACCUAAUCUAACUAUUUUGGAGAUUAAUAUGCAAAGUUAUCAAAGUAUUAAAGUUUUGACAUGGAUGAAUAUGCAUGAGUUAUGAAGUUUUAUGGUAGAAAUGGAAAGGUUGUUGAUAGAUAAUCAACUUUUGUAAAGGAAAUUUUCUUAAAAUUGUGAUUUAGGGAGUAAAUUGAAAAGAUGUAAAAUUUAUGAAAAAUUUUGAUUUUUGUGAAAUACAUGGACUAUUAUUGUUAUAUGAAAAAUUUGGCUAGGCUUGGAAUCAGGGUUAAGUUGCAUGAAAUUUAUUUUCCGAGCCUAAGGACAAAAUCGUCAUUAAUUAAAAGUAUAGGGACAAAAUGGUAAUUUUACUAAGAUGUGAAUUGGAUUGAAUUGAAUAUGAAAUGUAUUAAAUUGAUGUUAAAUUCAUUUAUAUAGAUUCGGAAAGAUCAAAUAAUGAGUUAGAUCGAGGAAAAGAAAAAGUGUCGGAUUAGUAGGUUUUUGUACACGAGCAAGUGUCGAGGUAAGUUCGUGUAACUAGAUUCUGUAUAUUUAUAUGUUUGAAUUGGAUGUUGCAUAUGUGAAUUGUAUAAAUGCCAUAUGUAUGAAAUUGAUCACAUAUCCGAUAAUGUCUAAUAAAAUAAUAAAUCUCGUUUGAACAAAUGAAAUUAGAUGGAUACAGGGUUCCUGGAGUGGUUGCAGUUCUACAUAUGUUGCGAACACACCAUAGCUCGCAAAAGCAUCCUGUUAUAGUUCACAUGAGCAUCCCGAUAUAAGCUCUCUUGAGCUUUCUGAUACAUUGUUCUUCCAAGCUUCCCGUUUAUAUGCUCUAAUAAGUAUUCUAAUCGGUAGUGAUCCUGUAUGUGUUGUGGACACACCGCAGCUCUUAUAAGCAUCCCUAUAUAUAGCUAUCCGGAGCUUCCCGAUUAAAAGCUCUUUCAUGAGCUUUCUGAUAAUAGCUCUUCAGAGUUACCCGUUAAGCUCGCAUGAGCUUUCUGAUUUAAGCUUUUAUGAGCUUUCUGUUAUUAAGCCCGGAUAUAUAAGCUUCUCAUUACAAGCUUACAUGAGCUUUCUGUUAUUUGGCUUGGAAGAGCUUCAUGUUUAAAUGCUCAAUGAGCAUUCCUGAAUAUGAAUUGAAGGAUUUCAGACUUGCACACUUCAUGUGUACUACCUUUGUAUCUAUCGAUAAUUUAAAUGAUUCAACGAGAAAAGUUAUGAUUCGAGAUGAUAUGAAUUCAAGAUGAAUUACUAUGAUAAAUACUUGAAAUACAAAGAUAUGAUAUGUACAUGUUCAUGAACACUUGAAGUAAUAAAUACAUGUAUGUGGAAAUUGAAUAUUGAUGAGCUCAUAUAUAUUUCUUGGUGUUUAUUUUACUAACAUGAUUUUUGAGGAUAUGUGUUAGGCUUUUGGCCAUGUUGUUUGGAAUAUGUUUUAUUUUCUUACCUUUAAUGUGAUUAAAUGGUAAGUUAAAUUCCAUGUUAUACAAACUUACUAAGCAUUAAAUGCUUACUCUGUUUUACUUCCUCUAUUUUAUAGCACUUCAAAAGCUCAUUGGGUUGGAAGCUUGGCGGAGAUACUUCACACUAUCCAUCAACUCGUUUCGAUAUAAAAAGUAAAUACAUUUUGGUUAUAAUGGCAUGUAUAAGCUAAAGUAGUCAUGGAUGGUAUGUAUAUGUAUGGUUGAAAUGAGCCAUUUGAUAUGGCUUGUAAUUUGGUAUGUUUUGAUAUAUAUAUAAAAUGGUCUUAAUAUGCUUAAUGUGUGUUUGAAUUGGAGGAUUAAUGAAAAUGAUAUAGGCAUAUUGAUUGUGAUAGUAAAAUUGAUUGGACAUGCAUAUAUGUACAUAUGAUAUUUUGGUAAGUAUAGAUAGUUGAAUAUAUGUGUUGAUAUGUUUUACAUAAAAAUUAUUUUGGCUUGAUUAGAAUGAUUUAUAUUAGAUUGGGAUGUGUUUAAAUGUUAUUGUAGGUGAAAGAUAAGUUUGGGUGAGAAAUAAGGCUUGGAAAUGGCUUUAUUUUGUCCACAUAGAUAGAGACACGGGCGUGUGUCUCAACUAUGUGUGACACACAGCCAUGCACACGGGUGUGUAGAUUGACUGUGUGUCCCCUGCAUCUUUAAAAUUUUAAAACAAAAUGCUCAGGUAUUUUCACACGGGUAGAGACAUGGGCGUGUGUUUCAGCUGUGUGUAGCACACGGCUUGGCACACAGGCGUGUGACUUGGCCGUGUAGCCCCUGCACCUAAUUAAUGUAAAUUAAAAUGUUCACACGGCCUAGCACACAGGCGUGUGGCUUGGGCGUCUUACCCAAGUCAAUAGCCACCCUAAUUUGGACACAGGCUAGGACACAGCCGUGUGUCCCUAUUUCAAAUGUCCACACGGCCUAAGACACGGGUGUGUUUCUCGACCAUGUGAGCCAUACGGCCUGACCACAUGGGCGUGUGUACUCUGCACUUAGGAAAAAUAUUAAAAUUUUGCGAAAAAUUGUCUGAGUACCUGAAUUAAUUCUAACUUAUUUCUAUUGUAUAUUUUGGGCCUUGAGGGUUCAUAUAAGGGGCAAUAAGAUUGUUUAUGACUGAUUUCUGAUAUAAAUGAGAAAUGAUAUGAAAUGUCUGUAUUUGAUCUGUUUAUUUCGGUAAUGCUCUGUAACCUUGUUUUGGCGACGGAUACGGGUUAGGGGUGUUACAAUGUUGCUCGGUGGUUUUGAUUUAAAAAAGGUUGUUGGAUGAUGAGUUGGUUAAUGGUGAUGAUGGUUUUUAUAAUAGGGAAAUUGAGAAUUUGAAGUGUAAUAGUGAUUGGAUUUGUGUGUGGGUGUCAAGUGAGUGAUUUAAAUGAUGAUGAGUUUAGUGUUUAGUGGCUUAGGAUAAGUAAUAGUUAAUAGUUUAGGUUGAGAAGUGAUGAUCUUAUGAAAGACAAUAAGGAUAGAGUGAGAUUUGAUAUAAGGCAAUGUGUGAGAGAAAAACAAAAGGAAUAAAUUUUAAUAAUGUUUAUAGUUUUUCUCUAGUUUUUUUAUUAUAUAUUUUAACUUUAUAUAUAUUUAUACUUUUAUACUUUUCUAUAAAUUUUGUCUAAUUUUUAUAACUUUUUGAUAAUUUUUAAUUCUUUAAAAAUUUUAUAUAUUUUUCAUAAAAAUAAUAUUUUUAAUAUUUCUUUGUCGCGUUAGUAUUAGUUACACGUGACAUGUUAAGUGUCAUUAUCAUAUGUUGUUUGACACAUCAACAAAAUUUAACGUCUAACAUGGUUAACGUUAACAAAGAGGUCUAAUUAAUUAAUUUAUUGUGAUAAGUACUCAAUUAAAAAUUCAAUAAAAGAAAAAAUAUAGAAGAACAGUAGAAGAUAUAUAUAAAUAUUAAAUAUUAAAUAAAAAUAAUUAUAUUUUUAAGGAGUAAAAAAAUAAUUUGGUGGACCUAAAUGAACUCAAAUUAUUUAUUUAUAAAUAUAGACAAAUUAGGGUAAAAUUGAUAUCAAUAUUUUAAGUUGAUUUAAGUUUGGGCAAAUAUAUAUGUUACCAAUAUUGUGCAUGAUCUUGAUUCGAACUUGAUUUGGCCCAUCUAUAAACACAUCUACUUUGUGAGACAAUUCACCCUAACCAUUUAAUACCAUUCAAAUUUUUUUAUUGAUUUGAUAUUCUCCUAUCAACUAAUGAACUGUGUAUGCUUAUAUAUAAUUGGAGACAAGGAUAAAAUUAUUUGAGAUUGAACUCAAAAUCUAAUGUGUCACUACAUAAUGUUAUUACCUUUAAAUCAAAAUAUUGUUUAAGAAUUGCCUCAAACUGAUAUCGAUUAAUGUUUUAGAAACCGAACUGAAGAUGAAAUUGAUUUAACCUUCGACUUCUAGUUCAGUCAUCAACACCUAUUCGGCUGCCAUUAAGCCAUUAAAUGAAAUAGCUACACAAUCCUAACCUAUUUACUUCCUGUUGAAAUGCCAAAUAGCCAUUAAAUCAAAUAAUAAGAUUAUUUUAUUGUAACAAUUCAUAAUUUAAUAAAUUCAAAAAAAAUAUUAAAAGUUUAAUUUUAAAAUUAUUUUUUUAGUAUCGAUUAGUACACUAUAUUUCGAUUAAUACGGACAAAAUCAACCAAAAUUUGCACUAAAACAAAACUUAUGAAUAAACCCUAUGAUUAAUCAAGUUUUCAAAUCCAUAUCCACUACCUACUAACCCCUAAACUAAGAUUAAAGAAAUUAUUUUAAAACAAUAUUAGUUAAGAUUUCAAACUUAUGAAUAAAGUGAGGUUUUGAUUUAAUAGUAGGUUUAAUGAUGUUAAUAGUUUAGAAAUCAUGAAUAGAUAUUCUUUCUCUUAUGUAUUAUCACUUCAACGUUAUCAUAUAUAAAUAUCUAAUUAUUAAAUCCAUUGUAUAUUUUAGUGUUUGAUUUUAUUUAUAAUUAUUUAAAAGUAUUAUUUAUACUUGUAGCUUGUUAAAAAAAAUUCAAACUUAUACCAACAAAACCCUUUAGGAACUAAGAUUAAGACUUUCAAGAUUUUUUUCAAAGAUGAAAAUGGAACUUGUAAAAUUCACUUUUUAAUAUAUACAAUUCAGCUUGCAGUUGCACAUAAGUGGUGGGCCUAUACUAUAAUGGAUUGGUUGCAUGAAAACAAAACAACCACCAAGAAUAAGAACAAGCCUUUCCAAGAAGAUGGUACUCGUGGCUUCAUCAUUUCUUUUUUUCUCUUUUCACUUCAGAAUUGUUUCUCAUAAUCUGUGAUCAGCGAUCACCACUUAUAUUAGUAUCUAGUCGUACGGUAACUAGAUUUUUUUCUCAUCAUCAUACCACGCAAUGACUCCAAUGCUUCUAAUCUUAGUCUUGGUCAAUAUAAAAAAAUCCAAAAUAACUUGUAUAUAUUAAUUAAAUCGGCAUUUGUACGGAGAUAAUAUAUUAUAGUAUAGGCCCACCACUGACAUGAAUGGACAGAAACUGAGAGCUUGGACAACGAGCAAGUUGGCGGUGUCUCAUUCGAUAGGAAAUACUUUUAGGCAAUAUUAGUGAAUGGGAAGCCACUUGCCUUCGUCUUGGUAAAUAUAAAAACACUUCACAAUUGAAACAUAAAUUUACAGUUUACAAGGUAAUGCUUUUGGCCUGCCUGCCUUAAACAAUCCAGAAAUGAACGUGUGGCACUUGAGUUAAUGGACUGCCGUAAUAUUUACUGCAUUCAUUCAUUCAUUCAUAUUCUCAAGAACAGUUUUGAAGUGGGAAAACAAAAAUGCAUUGCAGACCUUAAGAAUAAAGAAGCAGACAAAUUCGAACCAUGUGGAGGAAGUUUGACAUUAUCGUAGGUGGUUAGUUAAGACAGUUUAUCGUCACCCUUUGGCCUACAAACUGGCAAUCAUGAAAAAGCUGAUGAAUUAAUGGAAUAGGUACUUAAAUUAUAAUGUGAAACAUAUUCGCGGUGGUGGAUAAGUUCAGGGUCAGCAGUCAAUUUGAAAUAAUAAUAGCAUAAGACACUGUCACACUGUUGCAAGUCGUGCCAUUCCAUCCUCACCAACAUGAGCGUAGCCAAGGGGGCUGGCAUGGGCCCCGGCCCCCCUAAAAUGAAAAAUUUUAUUUUAGGCCUUUGAAAUUUUUAAAAAAAUUUAAAUUAGUAAAGAUAAAAUUACACUUUGGCCUCUCUUAAAAUUAUAAAAAUUUAAUUUAAUCCUUUACAAAUUAUAAAAAUAUAAACUAUAAAAAAUUAAAAUUUCAUCCGUCCCCCCUAAAAAAAUUUUCUGGCUUCGCCCCUGCUCACCAACUUAUGAACAAGGGAGUUAUUAGAUGGAAACACACAGUACUAACUUGCUAUUAGAUGGAAGGUGCAAAUUUGAUUAUUUAAUUAAUGUAUAUGAGUUAUUUUGGAUUCUUUAUAUUGAGGAAGACUAAGACUAGAGGAAUGGGAGUUAUUGUCUAAUAACAAUUCUUAUCGAAACACACAGUACCAACUUGCUAUUAGAUGGAAGUCAGUGAUGCCAAAGUUAUUGUGACAUUGCUGCCAAUGUGAUAUGUACGAUAAAGGUGGGAAGUAGGGACGCAAAUGUGCUAAAAGCUAAUAAACAAAUUGAUAGAUAAAAUAAAAUUUAAAAGAUAAUUCUAAAAAAAAUAAAAGAAAAUGUUUUUUUUUUAAAUUCACGGAUCUAGAAAUUCAUUUCGGACACUUGAACAUUCUCAAACUGUUUCUUUUUAAGAACCAAAAAGAUUUGAGCAAAAACAAUAGAUGCCAAGCAGAACAAAAGAUCUUGGACGCGUAGUGGGUCUAUACUAUUUCUGCAUCCCUGGCUAAAUCCACUUAGAGCUGAUAAUGGGCUAGGCGGCCCGGCCCGGCCCGGUCCAAAGGCUCGCCCGAAAAAUAAAAGAGUUUGGGUAAAAAUAUAGGCCCGAAAAAUGGGCUUGGGCAAAAAAAUGAGGCCCGUUUAGAAAACGGGCCGGGCCUCGGGUAAGAGUUUUUUUGCUCGGGCCCGACCCGGUCCAAAUUAUAUAUUAAUAUAUUUUUUAUUUUAUUUUUAAUCAUUUUAAAUUUUUAAUAUAACAUUUUUUUAUUAUAUUGUCAAUUUGUGUAUUGUUUUAAGAAUUGUUUUAGUAUUAUUUUUAUUUGUCUUAAUAUUUGUUUUUAUGUUUUUAAAUAUAUUUGAUUUAUUAUAUUUUUAAAAUUUUUUAUUUAAUGAAAUAAGUAAAAAAAAUUUAAUAUCGGUUGGACCGGGCCGGGCUCGGGCUUAGUAAUUUUAUUUCGGGCCGGGCUUAGACAAAUUUUUAGGCCCAUAUUUCGGGCCCGAGCGGGCCUAAAAUUUUAUCUGGGCCUGGCCCGAACCCAACCCAGCCCAGCCCAUGAUCACCUCUAAAUCCACCCACAGUAGGAUUAAUUGUUAAUGGUUGAUCGAGUUUGAUAGAUUCACCCUCUGAAACAUGAAGUUCUUGUCCUAGGGGGAUAAUAUCAACCACUUGAUGUCCAUCCAAGGCAUCCGUUAUAGUUAUUUCGUACCCCUUUUUCUUUUCGUAUGAUUUUGUUUACUAUACCUAUGGCUGUAGCAUUAAAAAUUCAAAAAAAAAUUAUAAAACUCUGGAUUUUUUUAUUGGAAAAAACUAAAAUUUAUUUUUUAAAAAUAAAGAAAAUUUAUACAUUCUAUCAAAUUGGUUUUGAUUCUGAAUUUGUUGAUAUCCAAUAAGGGUUAAAUUUGUUGAAUUUUUAGAAUCAAGACCAAAAUAAUAUAAUUUAUAAAUAUUGAAGGUUAAAUUUGUUAUUAUACCAAUCAAAAGUGAAAUAAAUUGAUGGAAAAAAUGCUCAUUAGUUUCUCAGUUUCGAAAUUGAUAGGGGCUAAAUUGCUUACUUUUCUUUCUAAAAAGGGCUAAUUUGCUCAAUAUCAAUUCUUUCUUUUUCCCUCUCCCUCUCCCUCCCUCCCUUCUUUUCCUUUAAUUGUAUAAUACUAAACAAUUAACUAAUUAGACACAGAAAAUUAACGAUAAAUCAAGAGUAAAAUACGAUUUAUUAAUAGAAGUAUAGACCAAUUGGUAAAAGGUUUAAAAAUAGAAGGUUUAAGUAUGUGGGUAAGCAUAAUCACUAAAGUUGGAAAAGUUGGAGCCUAUAAUUGCAAUUGAACCAAUAAAGGAUGAGGUGAUGGUUUGGAAAUAAACCAAAAUGUUUGGUUAGUGCUCCAUCGUCAACCUUAAUAUUAUCAUCUUUUUUUCUUUUCACUUCACGAAUGUAAUGUUUUCCUUCUAUCGCCCACCACUUAGAUUAAAAUCUAGUAGUAGGGUUACAACAAGAUACUUUCACAUUAGCAUUCCACGCAAUGACUCGGAUGCUUCUCGCCUUCUUCUUAGUCAAUAUAAACAAUUCAAAAUAUCUCGUGUGUUUGAAGUUGUGUGAUCUAAAUUUCUAUUAAAAAUAAAAUACAAGUGGCAAAAUAUAUAGGAAGAUCUACGGUAUAACCUGCACAAGUAAAAUCCGAUAGAAGUUUACUUUCUCUAUUUGAUGUUAAUUAGAAUAAAGUAUUUUAAUCUUAUUACGUUACUCCUAUUUGACUUUGAUUAAAAUAAUAUUUUUAAUCCUAUAAAUAGACGUAAUCGUCUCUCCUCUUAUAUUAUUCAAAUUCUGUGUGUUCUAUUUCUCUCUUUCUUUACGAUUCAUUGUCAUUAUCGACAUUCAAUUUUAACCUUGUAUAUAUAUGUUGAAGUUAUAAACGUAAGUACAUUUCAGUCACGGAAUAAGCAUACUAACAUCACAUUAAAUCAUAUCAUUAAGCCCAAGUUCCAUAUUAAGCGGUAAAGCAUACUAAAUAACAUUAAUUUAACAUAUCAUUACCAAUUACCAUAUCAUUAAAUAAUAAUUACAUACAUCAUUAUUCUUUCAUACAUACAUCAUAUCUCGUUUUCGUUAAAUUAAUUAUACAUAUUACAAAUCAUCAUACCAAUACAUCAUUUUAUUAAACACAUAUCAAAAUUCUGAUACAACCUCAAGGUAUUUAUAAUUUGAUCUCAUAUGCCAAACAUGUCACAUUUCAGUACUAUAUCAUAACCGCAUUCCAUUUAUAUAUGUUUAGCCCUAAUAAUAGAGUUCUAACUCAAUGAUUAGAUAUAUGGGACUAUUCAUCACACUAAUGAGCUCACAAGAAUAUAAUCAUCCAAUACACCAAAGUACAUAUUGUAUAGAGUUCGAUGGCACCAUAUCAUAUCCUCCCAACACAUCAAAACACAUAAGUGCAAGGCCCGAAGGUAUAAAACUCUAUAUCACAUAUCAUUUAUAUUACUCAUCAUAAUAACUCUACCAAAUUGUCAUAUCAUGAAAGUCAUUUUCAAACCAUUAAAUCAUAGUAGCAAAUUUCAUAACAUCAAGCCAUUCAUAAAAGUUUCUUAAGCCUAAUUACUUAAUAAAUUCAUGUAAAGAAAGAAAAUUAUAUCAAAACAAACCAACCAAAGUCAUCACGCAUCUAUCUUUUUUUCUUUUACCUUGUUUUUCAACAUUUUCGCCUUGACUUUAGCUACAUUAAUCAAUCCAAACCUUAAUAUAAAGUUAGAUUCACACUCAACCAAUAAAUCAUCUAAAUUCAAACAUGCUAAGCAUAACCUCAUCAAGUUUUAACUUCUUAGAACCCUAAUGUUCAAUUUUCACAUAUCUCGUAAUUAUCCCCUUUGUAUUUGAUUCUAAUUUUAGAACUAUAUUGAAGGACUUCAAGCUACCCAAAAACAUGUUUAUUGUCAAAGUUCUUUUCUCACUCUCUAAGCUUUCUAAGUACUCAACUAUUAAGCAUUUUCCUAUCAAAAUUCAAGCUUCAAAUGUAUGGGUUCAUACCUAGCUAUCACCUAAAGUCAUCAAUCUCGCCAAAGGUUCAAAGAAGACUUACCAUUUUUUUAUGAGCAAGCCACGGCAAUGAAGAACUUCCACGAAUUUUUUUUUCUUUCCUUCUCUUACUAUGUUGAACCGAAUGAUGAAGAAGGAAUGAGUAGCUUCCUUCUAAUAUACUAUAUAUUUUAUAAUUAUUUAACUUAAUUAAUUAUAUAAUCUAGCUAAUGGCUAACAAGUAAUUUUAAAAAUAUUAGUCGCUAUCCACAGUUCUUGUAACACCUCAUACCCGGCCCAAUCGUUAGAUCCGAGUACAAAGUGCUAUAUUUCAUAUCCGAAAUUUAUCAAAUACAUUCUUUAAUAUAUGUUCUGCCAUUCAUGUUCAAUAUAGUUAUUACCAAAACACUAUCUAAUUGGCCUCGUCACCUACAUGAAUUUAAUUCAAUUAUGUAGCUUUAAUUUAAUAUACAAAUUAUUUCACAAAGUAGCUUUAACAUGUUGAAUAUUUGCUUAGUUUUAAAAUAAUAUUCUAUUCACACUUAAACACAAUUUCAACCAUGAUCCUGAGGCUCCGUCUCUAGGUCUCCCUGUUGCAUGCAUAUUAAAAAUUUAGAAGUUUGGGAUAAAAAUAUAAAAUAUUAUAAUCUGGUAUUCGGUUUAUUCAAAUUAUUCGAGUUAUUCGAAUUCAAAAAUUGAACUCGAUUCGAACUCGAAAUUUGAAAAAAAAUUGAAUUGACUCGAAUAAUUUAAAUAGCUCAAAUAACUUAAUUCAUUUAAUUCGAAAUUUGAAAUUUUUUUCGAUUUUCCCUAAUCAAUGUUAGGAUCGUCCCGAUUAAGCAACGAACAAGUAAAAAUAGUAGAAGAAAUUGAGAAGAUGAACACACAAAUUUAACGUGGAAAAACCCCUCAAAAGAGGAUAAAAAACCACGGGCAAAGAUAAUUUUACUAUAAUGGCAAAAGAAUGAAGAGUACAAAAGAUGGAGAUAAAAACUAAACCCCGAAAACCCGAAAAACAAAGAACCCUCAAACGUAAACACAAAAUUCUCUGAAUGUGUUAUGAGUUCUAAUCUAAUGGGUGUCUCUUAAUUCUAAGAUUGUAAAGGAGCCUAUUUAUAGGCUAAAUUAGUAAGUCAAAUAAACUAUACUAAUAAAUGCUAAAUAUAUUAUACUAAUAAAUACUAAAUCUUCUAGAAAGAAAAUAUAUUUUUGUUUAACUUGACUUGCAAGCAAUCUCUUAGAAUUUGGGUCACAUAAUUCUAACAAUCUCCACCUUGACACGAAUUCUUUCAAUGCCAUCUUUGCCAAAACCCGCCACGGGCCUAUCUUGAACUAUGCAGGGAAUUAACUGAGUCGAAUCUAUGCUUAGAAGCUGGAAGACUUCUAGCCUUCGACUUGUGCACUGCCAAAUCAAAACUAACCCGGGUCUGAUUUUCACGAAUACAGUGCCCUAACUUUUCAAAACCUGCAUCCAAAAGAGAACCUCUCUUCAACGAAACAGUCAUACCUUUUUCCCUCCUAUGACCAAGUUGCCUCCGCUUCAAAUGAGUUGACUUUGACUCCGUAACGGACGAGGGAUGUCCGAUUUCACCGGUCACUGUAGAACCUUCCAGAAUAUAAAGACUGCCGGUUCUUUUACCUUUUAACAAAACGAGAGCUCCACGAGAUACUUUAAUGUCGCUCGACUCGAUGUUGAUUCUGCAUCCUUUCUAGUCUAAAAUACUCAAGGAGAUGAGAUUCUUUCGUAAAUCAGGUACAUACCUGACAUCUGAGAGUGUCCUAAUCGUCCCAUCAUGUAUCCUAAUUUUAACAGUACCAAUACCGAUUAUUUUACUUGAUGAAUCGUUUCCCAUGUGCACAACUCCACCUUCAACUGAACUGUAUGUGGAGAACCAUUCUCUAUUGGGACACAUGUGGAAAGAACAUCCUGAAUCUAGGAUCCACUCAGACGUAAGCUUGGAGUUAUCGUUCGUUGACACUAACAAGAAAUCAUCACCGCCUUCAUCGACCAAAUUAGCACCAGCUACAUCUUCCUCGUUACUCUCAGCAGCUCUUUUAUUUCGCAGUUUAUAACAAUCUGCUUUGACGUGACCUAACUUUUUGCAAUAGCGACACCUUUUGUCUCGUUUCUUUGAUGCUACCAAAACGGAAGCUUGUCUAUCUGCUUUGCUAUUCAAAUCAAACUCAUUGUCGAGUUUGUCUCUACUCAACAAAUGACCCUUCACAUCUUCGAACGAGAGUUUGUCUCUGCCAUAAAUCAGGGUCUCCCUGAAAGACUUGUAUGAAGAGGGUAAAGAGCACAAUAAUAGCAUAGCUUGAUCUUCAUCGUCAAUAUGAACCUCAACAUUCUUUAAAUCAUUUAAAAGAGUAAUGAAUUGACUGAUGUGAUCUUUAAGAAGCUCACCUUCGUUCAUGCGAAACGUAAAUAGACGUUGUUUCAACACUAAACGGUUAGCUAGAGACUUAGUCGCAUAAAGAGUUUCUAACCUUUUCCACAAGGCGAAUGAGGUCUUCUCCAUCAAUACCUCCUGCAAUACUGUAUUCGCGAGGCACAACUGGAUUGCAGACAAUGCCUUUUCAUCAAGCUCUUCCCAUUCUGUUUGAUUUAGAUUCUCAGGCUUUUUCCCUGUAACAACCUUUUUCAAGCCAUUUUGAACUAGAAUUGCCAUCAUCCGAACUUGCCACAGAUUGAAAUUUGUCUCACCAUCGAACUUCUCAAUUUCAAACCUUGUUGCUGCCAUCUCUGAACGGGCUGAUCUAUGAAAGUUAAACUAGCUCUGAUACCACUUGUUAGGAUCGUCCCGAUUAAGCAACGAACAAGUAAAAAUAGUAGAAGAAAUUGAGAAGAUGAACACACAAAUUUAACGUGGAAAAACCCCUCAAAAGAGGAUAAAAAAUCACGGGCAAAGAUAAUUUUACUAUAAUGGCAAAAGAAUGAAGAGUACAAAAGAUGGAGAUAAAAACUAAACCCCGAAAACCCGAAAAACAAAGAACCCUCAAAUGUAAACACAAAAUUCUCUGAAUGUGUUAUGAGUUCUAAUCUAAUGGGUGUCUCUUAAUUCUAAGAUUGUAAAGGAGCCUAUUUAUAGGCUAAAUUAGUAAGUCAAAUAAACUAUACUAAUAAAUGCUAAAUAUAUUAUACUAAUAAAUACUAAAUCUUCUAGAAAGAAAAUAUAUUUUUGUUUAACUUGACUUGCAAGCAAUCUCUUAGAAUUUGGGUCACAUAAUUCUAACAAUCAAAUUAACACAAUCAACGGGAUUUUCGAAAUGAAGUUUGAUGAUGAGAGAAUCUGUUUUUCGCUUCAUACUUUUCACUGAAUGAAUUACAUCAUUAGCUAUUAGCACUGUGUCCAAAAUUUGACGUCCAGCUAUGCAGGCGGUUUUUGUGUCGCUAAUGAUACUUCCCAUAACUAGUUUCAGCCUUCUCACAAGGAGUUCAGCCAGAAUUUUAUACAACGAACUAACCAAGCUAAUGGGUCCGUAAUCUUUGAGGGAAUCAAUACGAGAAAUGAAGAAAUAAGGCCAGGUUCAAAUUUUCCUUUAGUGAAGAAAUCACUUGCAAACUUCCAAAGGUCGUCUUUAAGUAGAUCCCACGUUGCCUUGAAGAACCCCAAGUUGAAUCCGUCUGGUCCGGGGGCCUUGAAGCUAUCACAACACCAAACUGUUUCUUUUAGCUCAUCUAAAGUAAAGGGAUUAUCUAGUAGAUAAAUAAAAUAUAUAUUUUAAUACUAAGAUAAACUCAUCAUAAAUUUUAAUUCAAUAUUGAAUUUUGCGUUUAUAUAUGAUUGAUUGAAUUUUACUAGUAAAUUUUUAUUUUGAAUUUCCUUUUGAGAUUCAAUUUUAAAUAAUUUGAAAACAAGACUGAAUUAAAAUAAUUAUUUUAAUUAUUUUAUUUUAACAUUUAAAAAUAAUAAAUUCGUUAACGAAAUGUUUACUUUACACAAACUAAAUUUAGUUUUUUUUUUGUUUUUUUUUUAAAUUUUCAAGUUUUUUUUUACUAAACAAAAAAUUAUUUAUUUUAUUAAUGUUUUAUAAAUUGAUUUAUUCUUAAUUAUUAACAUAAAAUAUUUGAAAUACUUUUUUGGUUUUGAAUCAAUAUUGAAUGGUAAAUUUUAAUUAAAAAAUAAAAUUAGUGGCAAAAUUGAAAGUUAGAUGUAAACAAUAUUUUAAAAUUAAAUCAAUGAUAAAAUUGUGCAGAUUGAUUUUCGAUUGUAAUUAAAAAAUAAAAUUCAUAAGAAUUGUUAAAAAUUAUAAAAGAUUUCAUAAUCGGUUAAACAAAUUGAAUAAUUGAUUUUAUUAUCUUCUUCUCUUUUUUUUCAUUCACAAUUGUUUGUUCUAAUAUUUUAUUAUAUAUCACUAAUCAGAUCGCUGAUUUUUAGUUCAGCCAAAUUGAUUCGGUCAAAUUCUAAAAUUUUAAAUAUAAGGAUAAAUUUAUAAAACAAAAUGACAAAUAUCAAUCAAAACAAAGCUUGGUGGCAAAUUUCAUUAUUCACUUAUGGUGACAAUUUGCCCAAUAACCUCUUUUUCUUUUUUCAUUAUUCCAUGUUUUUUUAAGACAAUCUGAUAUGCCAUUAUAGCAUGCAUGCAUGGAACAAACAACUCUCACCUUCCUUCUCCAAUGCUCUCCCUGAAUCCAGAAACAUUUACUGGGGAGAGCAUUGGUUGAUCAUUUAGCCCUGAAAGAGUAUUGUUCUUACUCUUGAUUCCAUUGCUACUAUGAUCGGAUGCAUUGGACUUUUGAGAUUCUUCAUCCAUGAAGGUGUCUGUUUUAUCCUCAUAAUCCCCUGUUACAUCCUUAAAAUCGCAGUCAGUUAAAUAACUUGGUUUUGUUGUAACGUUGCCCACUUCAGUAUCUCCUACAAGCAUAGCAAUAACACGAGACAUGGACGGUCGCAAUGACGGUGAUGCCUGAGUGCAUAAAAAUGCUACCCCUAUCACUCGAAGAGCUUCGUUUUCGUCGAACUCCGCUAACGUAGGAUCAAGGAGGCUCAAGAGUUGGUUAUUUUCGUGCAGGGUCCAUGCCUAGAGACAUUUGUAGGAACAAAUUAAUAAUGAUUAAGUCCUUUAAAUUUUAAUAGGUGCUUGAAUAAAUAGUAUUGCAAAAGGGAAAGUUAUCCUUUUGGAUUACCCAAUUAAGAAGAUAAACUCUACCAUCUUCUAAUCUAUUGUCAGAGUUUGGUCUACCAGUUAUAAUCUCCAAAGCAACAACACCAAAGCUAAAAACAUCUACUUUCUCUGUAAGAUGACCGCGCAUUGCAUACUCUGGUGCCAGAUAGCCACUUCAAGAUAAUUACAUUGCACUGGUGAUUAAUUUCUGCUAAUAAAACUACUAAAUCUAGCAAUUUGGGAACAGAAAUUACAUGCUACUGAGGUUGAAAGGUCUUACACUGUUCCAGCAGCGCGACUGGUGAUAUGUGUUUUCUUGUCAUCAUAAAGCUUUGCCAAUCCAAAAUCAGAUAUUUUGGGGCACAGCUCUGCAUCAAGCAAAAUAUUGCUUGCCUUGACAUCCCUAUGAACAAUCUUUGGCCUAGACUCCUCGUGAAGAUAAGCUAGGCCUUUUGCAGUUAAAAGGCAAAUAUUGAAGCGAGUUGGCCAAUCAAGAUGCAAGUCCUUUUGUCCUGCAUUAGUAGUACAAUGAAUCUCGUACAGCUAUUCAAAAAAAAAAUGGAAAGCACAAAAUUUUAUGUUUGACUUUUCUUGUACCCCAAAGUGCAUGAUCAAGGCUUUUGUUCACAAGAUACUCGUAAACAAGGAGGCGCCUAUUUCCUCCGAUGCAGCACCCGUAUAGUUUGACAAGAUUACGAUGUUGUACUGCUGAUAUGGUAGCUAUCUCAGUAACAAACUGAUCUUUCCCCUGGUUUGAUGCUACUGAAAGUUGUUUUACAGCUACAACUUUCCCAUCUGAAAGUGUACCCUAAAGCAUACUAGGAUUUAGUAACACUGUAAUAAAUCAUCCUCUCUUGGUAAUUUAAUCAUUACAUGACAAGCAUGUCAACAUGCUAAAAAUGAUAAACACUGUUUACCUUGUACACAGGUCCGAACCCCCCUUCUCCUAACUUGUUUGAAGGAUUAAAGUCUUCGGUGGCAGCUUUUAACUCGGAAUAACUAAAUGUGUUUGGUCUAGGGCUGAUUCCAAGAAGCACUACAGAGUAAAGUAAAGCAAUUAGCAACAUGUGACUCAGAAUAACCAUAGAAUAUACAAUAUUUUAUAAUAAACCAGUGCUCUUACCCUCAUCAUCAUCAUCAUCAUCUUCUUCUUUUUCUCUCUUCAUAUAAAGAAUUGAGAAUAUAAGUAUCAAAGCCAAUGCUACUACAGGAAUUGUAACACCAGCAAUCAAUGCUGUGUGCUUCUUUUUUUUAGGAUUGUCCGGUGGUAACCCACUGACACUUGGUUUGAAAUCUCAAGAACAAAAUAGAUGUAUUAGAAAUAGAGAACCAAAGAUAGACACGUGAAACAUUUAUAACAUGAGGAUUCAUAAGUUUAAGAUGUCUUACUUGGAGCAACACUAAUAGCUGAAAUGGCUGGACCGUAAGUACCGGUUGUUGGUAUGCCAGUAGUCCCUUUACCAGCCCAAAACAGGUGAAUUUCAAGAUGGUUCCCAGUUACAUUAGUGGUGAAAUUCCUAAUUAUUGCUUUAUUAACACCCCCAGCCUCCUUUGAUAUAUCAAAAUCCCUUAGUUGUCGGGUUCCCUGAUGAAGCAUUGAUAAGAUAUUGUAGCACUAUGUAUUUUUUAAGUGUAAAACUAUGGGAACAUGAUUGUGAUCAUAAAAACGCUGCGGAUAGAGGAAAUGGAAUGAAUAUAUAUCUAUAGAUAUAUGCAGCUUAGAAUGGUAUGAAUUUCUACAUUAAAUGACAUAUUACCUGAAUAUAAACGUCAAAAACACGCCUUCCUAGACUCUUCCAAGACUGUGAGGCAAGCUCCGGGAAACCAGUCUCUGCAAAGAACAAUCUUACAGUAUAAGACCCGUUCUCAAGGCCUAGGCCAUAGUAUCUGAGUGAUCCGGGGGAUAGCCUUGAAGUCUCAUAGAGCUUCGGAGUGUUGGUACCACUCACUGUUCCUGCGAAGUUUUGCACAUACUGUUGAAUUGGCCUUUCUGCAAACAAGCCUGCAUUGCUAACCGCCCAUUUUCGUAUACUGGAUAUAUUAAAUGUUGCUGGGCCAAGUGUACUAUUAUCAACAUCGAAUGAUAUCCCAUCAGCUAUCAUCGCUGGUCCACCACACUUGAUAGAAAAAUUUGCAUCUGCCAAUGCCGACGUUGAAAUAUGUGAGCAGAGCAUUAAGCUUUGGUCUUGAUUCAAUCUUAUAAUUAUGACUUCGACAAUAGGUACUGGUUCAAAAGUUUAAGUUAGUACAUCGUGGAGCAUUUCUAAAGCAUGGGAAGCUUCUUUGGAGGCAUUCUAAUCCUGGUAAAAGCCUGAGGAAUUUCAAAACAAUUUCUUAAUUAGAACUUGAAAAGAAUGCAUCGCAUAGCAGAGAUAAAGCAAGCCAGCCUUUAUUUUCAUAAAGGUGAAAGAAUUCUUCCAAUGAAGUUUAGAAGGGAAAAUCGAGUGCUACGAGACGAUAACUCACCUAUUGAUUGUACUGUUAAAUGUAAAGUUGUUGGCCACAAGGUUCCUACAUAAAAUUCCAUGAAACAAUAUCUCGUUGGUAUUGAUUUGUAAUUGAUUCCUAUUUUGCAAUGCGAUAUGAACAAUAAGAAAACAAGGUCCAUUUGAGCACUAAAAAGGUCACAAGCUACAAAGUGGUGUUAAAAUUAGAGAGCAAAGUUAAGUUAGUAAAGUAUCCUGGAUUAAGAUACAUACAGCUGUAAGCGUGAGUUUACCCAAGAAGGCAAGUUUCCUGAUAGAAAAUUGUAUGAUAAAUCUCUGCAUAGAAAGUAUAUUAGUCAGAAACCUGACAGACUGUGAUUUCUUUUUGAUGGUUCACCAAACGGAAGAAGCUAAUAAUGGUUAACGUUCAGAUGGUGGACAUCUAAAACUAACAUCAUAUGGAAUAAGUUGAUGAGAUAGUGACUUACAUGGUCGUAAGAGUUUCACUCUUUUGGCUGGGAAUAGAACCUGACAGACCAUUAUUUCCAAGAAACCUAACCAUUUCAAUAGCAUGAAAGAGACGAAAAAUGUUAAGUGAAAACCAUAAGUCUUAUGCUAUAUUUUCAAUUCUUGAUGGGAUGGUUUUCUUUUUCUUCUUUUUUGUUGCUUACAAGUAUUCAAGAGAUUUCAUAGUGAACAAAACACUUGGAAUUCGGCCUGUUAAGUUGUUGAAACUCAAAUCCCUGGAACAGAAAGAAAUUUGAAACAUGAAGCAAGCAAAUACCGUGGAUUUUUGAAGCAGAUAACUUUUAAAUGGAACUUACAGCUUUUGCAAAUAUUGUAUUUCCGUGAUAUAAGAUGGCAAAUUACCAGUGAGCAACACAUUUCUUAGAACCCUAUAAGAAAAUGAAAAAAUAUAUUAAUUCCUCAAAUUUAGAUAAAAACAUUUCAUCUUUUUCCCAAGAAAAGAAAACAUAAGAAUGCAAGAAGUAAAGAGUGUGGUUAACUCACAAGUCGGUCAAGUUCUUUAAAUUUCUUAUGAAAUCAAGAGAAGAAGAACUCCCGUUAUAUAUAUCGCCAAUUCGCCUACAUGAUGUACGAUUAUAAAAAACAUGUCUAUAUGCGUAGAUAUAUCACGCAUGAAUAUGCAAACAAAGGGAGAGAGUCAUUCGGUGGUAGGAUUACUAUCAGAAAAGCAAAAUAUCUCUACUUACAAAGAAGUCAAUGAGGUUAGAUUUCCUAAACUGGAUGGUAUUGGACCUUCAAAAGAGUUCCCUUGAAAUCUCCUAUAUAAACAUAAGGCUAGUCAUAUUGAUGAAAAAUUUAAGCAAAGUCUUGAUGUCUGAUUCAAGGAGAACUUAAAUGAAGAUUAACCAAGAUGUUUUGAUGAAUUACAAUGCUGUAAGCUUUGUCAAGUUACCAAAAAAGUCUGGUAUUUUGCCUGUGAAAGCAUUAUCAGACGCCCACCUGAAAUUCAACACAGCUUAUCACUCAGUCCAUGAGGGAGAAAGGGCAAUUGGCAAGACCAUGAGGGAGAAAAGGCAAGUCUUUCUUACACAGUUCGCAGUUCUUUAAGUUUAGCAAAUGUUGAGGGGAUCUCACCACUUAAUGCACAACUGUUAAUGUAUCUGCCAAAUUCAUAAACCAAUUGCUGUUAUAAUUUCAAGGGUAACUUGUAAAGACAAUCAUGUACAUCCCCUACGAAGAACUAAAGAAAGUUAGAACUUACAAUUCUCCAAGCUCAGCUAAAUUACCAAGUUCUGGAGGCAAUUUUCCAAAGAUAUCAUUAUUACCCAACGACCUGCAUGAUAUUGAUCCAAAUAAAAAAUUUCUUUUAACAAGUGUUUGCUUAAAAAUGGAUUGUUUUAUCCUUUGUAAUGUUGAUAAAAAGAUUUUAGUGAGAGUUUCUUCAAUUCUUACAGCAGGUAUAGCUUCUUGAGAUUUCCAAACUCCUUUGGAAUAGUUCCAGAGAGAUUAUUAUGAGCAAGUGAACUACACAAAGUAAAAUAAUUAAAUAAAUAAUUCAAAGAAAUAGGAAUAGAAUGAUUUAUUAUUCUAGCAUGUAGUCUGUCAUCUAAAAAACAAAGUGGAUUGGAAGGUGUUGAACCAUAAAACAAUUGAAAUGCUUUUUAUCAUAUCAUAGUUAAGUACUCACAGUAAACCCAAUCUAGACAUAUUUCCAAUGAAUGCUGGCAAAGGACCAGAGAAGAAGUUCCUAUCCAGCUUCCUGUAUCACCCAACAAUACAAAUGAGUUGCUGUCAAACUAAAAGACACAUUGUAACCAUUUGUAUUCAUUUGGUAAAUUUUCAAAAUGAAUGUUAGCUUAUGAAGAUGUAAUGUAAGGAGAAAAUAGAGAGGAAAAAGUAAGAUUAUUCUUACAAGAAAUCCAGAUAAGGCAAAUCCAAAAGUUCCUUUGGUAAUGCUCCUCGCUUAUCUAGUCCAAAUACCCUUCUGAGAAAAAAAAUUAAAAUAUUAGACUACCAAUAAAAGUACCCAUUUCAACUUUUUCAAUUGUUAUACUAUAAUGGCUUAAAGAUAUUGCAGAAGUGUGUGAGAGCAAGAAGCAUACAGCCGAGUAAUGUGGCAAACUGUGUUAUCGUUGAAAGAACAAUCACAUGUGAUAGCUGGGUUAUUAGAAGGAUCCUCAAAUUCCGAUAGACUUUGGGUAAGAGCAGUUCCACUGCAUGGGUCUCCAGUGGUGUUCCAUGAUGCUACUGCUUGUGCAUUCCAUUGUUGGAAGAUCGAGUUCAAUGCCUUUACUGUACCCAAUUCAUUAAUCAAUUAAUUGAAGAGAAAAAGAAAAAGGUAAAAAUAAAAUAAUCAUCAUGUUAGGUGAUUAUCAUUUCAUCACAUCUGUAAUUAGGAAAACUUUUUACUUUAAAUUAAUAAUAAUUUCAUAUUUUGGAUUGAGGCUUAGCUCAAUUGGUAUCACAUUAUUAUUAAUGUAAGAAUAUGUGAGUUCGAGUAAACUUAGGUGCAUAAUCUUCUUAGUUAUGGAUUCAGGAGUUUAUUUACUGGAUGUAUUUAAUAAAAAAAAACCAUGACAUUCAAACUAAAUUAAAGUAAAAUACUAUUCAAAGAUAAAAAAUAUUGAGAGAUUAAUAUUAACUAUAUGUAUUUUUAUAAGAAUAUUACUAUGUAUCAAGUCAGUAAAAAUACCACAAAAUUCUUUAUAUUAUAUCAUGAAUUGUAUUUUAGUUUUUUUAUUGAAAAAAUGGGUAAAUUAACUCUCGUAAAGUUUGGCGUUUAUACAUAAGGUAUAAUAAUAAAUUUAUCCCUUAAAUUUUACACAAUUAUUCAAUUUGACCCUUUCUCUUUCAUUGGAAGUAAAUUAAAAAUUUUGAAACUAAUAAUACUAAAGGUCAAAAAGACUUAGUAACAAAUUAAAAAGUUCAAUUAAAACCUUUUAAAUUUUAAAAAAUCAUAAAAUUUAUAAACAAAAUUUAUAACAAAAAUUUAUAAAAAAUUUAAAUUUAUAAAUUUAUAAAUAAUUUUAUGCCCAUAAUUAUCUGUCGUUUGUAAUAUUAUUUUCAAGGGAUAAAAUACGGUGACGUUUCACUUUGUUUCCUUUUAUCUUCAUAAUGAUCAUAAUUCAAUUUUCAUAAUUAUAUUAAUAUUACUGAAUUAAUAUAUUGAACUUUAAAAAAUAAUUAUUAUUUAAUAUUUUCUUUUAAACCCCACCUAGUGCGAGGAAACUAGUGAAUAACAGCUGCAGUAGUACUUCGAAAAUUAACCCAAAUAACUUAUGUAAGCUAGCUUAGCUGCAUAUAAUAUAUAAUUAUUAAAUUACGGGUAAAUUUUCGUUUUAAUCAUUCAACUAAAAAGAGUUAUAAUUUGAUCAUUAAUAUUUAUGAAAUCAUUUUUUUUAUCACCCAUUUUUUUAAUAAAAUUAUCAUCCGACCGUUAAGUGAUACUUUUUUAAUUAAUAUAAUAAUAAUUUUAGUCAUUAACUUUUAUAUUUUCUAUCAACUUCACCUUCAUUCUAUAUGAAACUUAUAAAAAAAACUCAAAUUUAUUUAAAAAUUACAAAUUCUAUACUAAAACUCUAGAAAAAUAAAAACAGAACAAAUUUUAAAAAAAAAAGUUAAAUAAUUGCAUGUUUCCUCAAUGUUUCUCAAAGUCAAAUUAAUAAUAUUUUCAAGUCGAACUUCAUAUCCUUUAAGAAAAUCUAGAAUUGAUAUUACAUAGUCUCGUGAAAUUGACUUUAAUACUUUUUUUAGCCAAAAAUAUAAAAUAUAUCAUAAUUUUUUUAAGCUCAAUUUAAUUUUUCAAUUCAUUUAAAUUAUUUUUCAAAACCCUAAUUUUAAAAACAAUUUAUAUUCUGAAUUUUUUUUUCUUUUCUUAUGACACAAGAACUACGUCAAGAAACAUAAAAGUUAAAAAAAAUAAAAAAUCAAUAUUUUUACUUUUUUGCGUUUUUUCAGAGAAUACAUAAAAGGUAAAAAAAUAGAAAAUCAAUAUUUUUAUUUUUUUAUGUUUUUUAGAGAAUAGAUAUUCGAUAUUUCUAUAUAGAUAACACAAAGAGAAACUUUGGAGAGUUUAAAAGCAAUUCUCCCUUAUGUUCUCUCCCUCUAUCUGGUUUUAAAAUUAUUUCCUACUUUUAUUUAAAUUCUAUUUUUAGAAUUUUGUAACUUUUAAAAAGAGAAUUUCAAAUUUUUAUUAUUGUAUAUAUAAUUCAAGUUAAAUUAAACAAAAAAUAUAAAAAUUAAGUACUAAAAUUGUAAUUUUACUUAAUAGUAGGGUGACAAAAAAAUAAUUUCAAAAAUAUUGAUAGUUAAAUUAUAAUUUUUUAAUUAAGUGACUAAAAUAAAAAUUUAUUAAUAAUUUAGUGAUUAAUGGUGUAGUUUACUAUAAUAUAUAAAGAGAGAGAGAGAAGAAAACCUUCGGAAGGAUCGGUGGUGGCGUUAGUCUGGGCAGUAAUGGAUUGACUGCAUGAAAACAAAACCACCACCAGCAAGAAGAAGAAGUAAUAGAGCAAGCUUUUCCAAGAAGAUGUUACUCGUGGCUUCAUCCUCAACCUUAAGAUUAUCUUCCUUAUUUUUCUUUUUCCCUUUCACAAAUGGUUCUCAUCAUCAGUUAUCACCACUUAUAUUAACAACUAGUUUAUUUUAACUUUUCUUUUUCAUUCUUUUUUAUUUUUUCCUUGACUUUUAGCUCAAUUUGGGCCCGCUAUAAAUUUUCUUUACUAUUUUAAGCUCAUCACUCACGGGACGAAAAUGGCAGCAACUUUCCGUGCAUGAGCAAGUUGACGGGAUUCUUCCUGUCCAAUAUUAUUUUAUUAUUGGGCAAUGACUUGGAUGCUAUCGUCUUCGUCUUCGUUAUCGUCAACGCCAACCUCAAUAAUUUUUAUAGAUAGUUUUUAAUUAUUAAAAAAUCUUAUUUUUUAUAUUUAUAAUAAAAAAUUUGUAAUUAUAAUUACUUUAUUUUUAUUAUUUCCGUUCAAAAUUUCACCUAAUAUUUAAAUUUUCAAGUUUAAACCUAAUAAAAUUCAAACUUCAACUGUACCCUAAACAGGUUCCAACAUUUUUUUUUUUCAUUUUCUUUGUUUGUUGGUCAUACUUAUUUCAAUUUGCAGAGGGAACUGAGUUGAAAAUUAGAGAAGAGGAAAAUCAUAGUGGGUAAGUUGAAUAGUUGAUAUAGUAUAAGACUCGUUUGGAUACCAUUUCACCCCUAGUUAGAUGGAAUCAACAGUGUCUAUACCUUUAAUUUAAACGGUGAAGUAACUCUUUUUUUACACCUGUGAUGAACCGUGGUGGGGUAAUUGAAUUGCACCACACCCCUUAAUUUUGCCUAGUGCUUUUUGCUCCAAUGAGAGUAAAUAUAAUUCGGUAGAGAAUUGUUUUACAAAAAUAACCUUUUUUGAGUUAUUUUUUUAAAUAAAAUAAAUUUUAUUAUUAUUCUUAAUGGUCAUUUUUUAUUUUCAUAUUAUCUUUACAAUUGCGUUUAAAUUCAAAUAUAUAUUUCACCAUUAUUCCUAAUCUCUUUAUUAUAAUAUUUAAUCUCAUUAUUAUCAUAACUAAUUUUAUCGCUAUUUCUAAUCUCUCCAUGCUAAACCUAAAUUAAGUAAUCACCAAAGCUGAAAGAUUGAUGUAAAGCACCCACUGACAUGUGAGAUUGUGAUGAUGGAUAUGCCAAGGAUAGAGCUAAUAAUUAAAUGGUGUUUCAACAAACAACAUGAUGAAGACAAACCCAUUUGGGGAAAAAAAAAAAAGGUUUUAGAUUAGAAUGGAUGGAUGGCCCCCGUUGGUUUGUUGAAUGUGGUCCUUAUAUUUUCAAAAUGUCCAAUUAGUCUUUUGCAUUUUAUUUUCGCUUAUUAAAGUGGUCAUUGAUUCUAAUAGAGUUAACUUUUUAACUGAUAUGGCACAUGAACCAAUUGGUCUACUGUUAAUAAAUUGAUUAGAGGCAUCUAAGCAAAUUGUCCAUUUUAUUUUUAUUUCUUUUAACAAAAUUAAAUUAAAACUAAAAAACAUAAACUUACUUUUGUAAUUUCUUCCUUUCUUCUUUUCACGAUGGUUGUUUUGUACUCUUCAAUCUUCUCAGCCACCAUCAACCGGAACCACCCCAACGGUGUCGCCUUCGAACUAAAUAAUGCCACUGGACAGUUCCUUCUCGUAUCCCCUUCUUAAAUCUCACUUUAUAUUUUUAAGAAAUCCUCACAAAUGCUACUAAAUCUCUUCACAACUUUUGGAACUUCAAUCUUUCGAUCUCCUCCAUGCACCAUCCGAUCUCCGUCCUUUCAAGACCCCAGCCUCGCCGCAAGUCUCUCCCCCUUUUCUUUGUGUAAUUUGUGUUCUUUUUUUUUUCCCUUUCCCUUUUUUUUAUGGGAAAUUAAGCGAAAAAUAUGAAUUUUUGAAUUUGAUGAGUUUUUAUUUUAUUUCAUAAAAAUGGAAAUUUUGCGACCUUAUUUAAGGUGUUCUUUUUUAAUUUUGUUUCAUGUUUUUAGUUUCAGUUCUUUGAAAUAAAAAUGGUCUUCAUAAAGAUGGAAAAUGGUCAUCAUGAAUAAGAUGAAGGUAAAGGCCAUGAUAGGGAUAACAAAGCAAGCGUCCCAUUUGUUGUCACUGUUUCAAAAAAGGAUGGUUCAAAUUUGAUGAAGGCCUUGCUUGAUGCGUGUGAGUAGGGGUGAAUAUUCGAGUUGAGUCGAAUCAAAUUAAAAAAAUUUCGAAUUAGUUGAGUUGAUAAUCUUUUUUAGUAAACGAAUUCAAUUUAAUUUUUUUUUAAAUCGAACCGAAUCGAGUAAAAAAAUUUUGAGUCAAGUCGAGUCGAGUUAACGAAUCAUAUUAUUUAUACUCAAUGUUACAUUUACAUAAACUGAUAUAAAAUUAUUUAACUACAUAAAUAAUAUAAUGGUUUUAAAUUUUAACUUAAUGAGUAAAUAUUUAUCAAAACAAUAUAGUUUUGCCUUUUAACUUAAUGGUUUUGACUUUUAACUUUAGAAAAGGUAAACAUUUAUUAAAAUGGCAUAGUUUUGCCAUUUCUUAUUCGGAUUUUCAAAUAACUCGAAUUGUAUAAUUCAUAUUAGAGUUAAACCGAAAAAUUUAAUUUUUUAUUCGAGUUAAUCCAAAUAACUUAAUUAACUCAAAUAACUUGAAUUAUUUAAUUCAAAAUUUAAAAAUUUUAUCGAGUUUUUUAAAUCGGAUCGGAUUUCGCUCACCUUUACAUGUGAGGAUUUUUGUACUUAGUUUUUGUUGUUAGAUGAUUAGGAUUUUUUGACGAGGUUUAUGCAAUGAAAUUGUUUGCCGGAAAAAAAGAAGAGAGAAGGCAGAGAAAAUGAGAGGAAAACGAAAGAAAAAAAAAUAUAAACGAAAUAGGAAUUUGAUUUAUUGUAUUUUUGAAAUAAAAUAUUUAAAUUUAAACUUUUUUUAUCAUGUUUUUAUUUGAUUUUGAGGGAAAGAAAAAAGAAUCAAAGAAAACAAUGUUGAAAAAAAAGAAUAAUGAAAAAGGAAAUAAGGGAACAAUGAAAAAAAGGUAUAAUUGUUCAGAGGCCCUUGAACUCAGUCAAUGAGUCAACACUUGUACACGUGGUGGAAUAUCAUUGGACAAAAGAGCCAUGUCAGCAAAAAAUAGCAGUUAGGGCCAGGGGCUAUUUUAAUAAACGAAAAUAAAGUACAGGAGUUUAAUUGAACAUGUGAAAGUUUAAGGGCUACAUUUAGAACAAAAUCCUAUGUACAGGGGCCAUCCAUGCCAUUAACCCUUUUUUUCUUAUGUAACGAAGAUAUUUAAAUUGUAAUUUUUUUUUAAUAGUUAAGUGAAUAUUGCAGUUAUAUAAGUCCACUCUGAAGCAUCCCUUUAAUUGAAUCAACAGCACGUGGAAUUGGAAGCCGAACGUUGACUGACUUUAAAGCGCCCGGCAAGCUAAAACCCCCCACCAAAUUAAGAAAGUGGAGAGAUGAGCUCGCAAAUUUUCUCUUUACUUUUUAAAGUAUGACUGGAAUUUUGUGAUGAAAAUGGAAGGUUUUUUUUGUAAAAAUGACUUUUGAUUUUUUAUUAAAAUGACUCAUUUUGAAAAUUAUGUACGCAAAUGACUUAUUUUAAACAGUAAACAUUGGUGAUGCCAUUUUUAUUGGUCACCACCUCCAAUUUAAAAGAUAAUAACUUUUUUAGGUAUCGUUGUUACUAUUGGCAUCACCACCUCCAAUUUAAAAGAUAAUAACUUUUUUAGGUAUCGUUAUUACUAUUGGCAUCAUUAGACUGAAAUAUAAUUAUAUAAAAAUUUUAGAGACAAUAAUUAACCUUUUUAAUUGGAUGAAGAAGUGGUGAUGCCAUUCCUCAUACUGCACCAAUUAAAUGUUUUUAAAUUUUUGGUCUAUUUUCAUAUUAGGUCUAUCCCCUUUUAAAAUUAAAUUUAAAUAGCCCUUAAAAAUAUAAGAAUAACAAAAAUAAAUCAUUUUCAAUUUUUAUUUUUUAAAAAAUAAACUUGAAAAAAUAUAUAAAAAUCUUAUUUAAAUUAUCCGAAUAUAUCCCUCAAUAAUUUUCCUCAAGUCAAAAAUAAGAAUUUUUAUUUUUGAAUAAGAAUUUUUACUUGAGGAAAAUUCUUGAGAGAUAUAUUUAGAUAAUUUAAAUAAGAAUUUUAUAUAAUUUUUUUUUAAAAUUUGAAAAGAGCUUAUUUUUUUAUUUUUUUAUUUUUAAAGAACUAUUUAAAUUUAAUUUUAAAACAGAAUAGACCUAACAUGGAAAUAAACUAAAAGUUUAAAAGAAAUUGCGUCACCACUUUUCUAUCAAAUUAAAAAGGGUAAUUGCUUCGUCGUAUCUUUGAAACCACUUUUUCCAUCAAAGUAAAAAGGGUAAUUGCUUCAUCAUAUCUUUGAAAUUUUUAUAUAAUUAUACUUUAGUCUGAUGACGCUAAUGACAACAACAGUACUCAAAAAUAUUAUUUAAAAAAAAAUUAGAGGUGGUGACGCCAAUGACAAUGGCAUCACUGAUGUUUAUUAUUCAAAACAGGUCAUUUACGCAGAUAAUUUUUAAAGUGGAUCAUUUUUAUAAAUAAUCAAAUUUUUUUAUAUUUUUAUAAUAAUAAAAAAGCCAAAAUUACUUUUCUUUUCCUUCUCUUAUAGUGGCUAACCUUGGACUUUUCCACCAUCAAGGAUGUGUUUCCCAUUAUGAUAAAUGAUAUUCUAGGUAAAACUACUAUAAAAGUCAUUGUAUUAAAAAUUAAAUUGUAUUUUGCUCUAUUUUUAAAAAAAAAAAUUAUCAAAUUAAUCUAUAUACAUUAGAGUAAAGAGUAAAUUGAUCUUUUUUGUUAAAAAUUCCAUCAAUUUAUAUUGUUAAAAAUUGGAGUAGUUGAUAGAAUAAUAAGACUAUGACACAUGACAUGCCACGUGUACAUCAUAUUGACGUAUAGAGACCAAUUUUUUAAAAUAAAAAUAGAUAAAAUUUUUAAUAAAAGUACUAAUUUACUCUUUUAUCUAAUGUACAAAAAAUGGUUCGUCAAUUUUUUUAGUAAAAAAAUAAAAUGUAAUCAAACUCUUAAUACAAAAAUCCCUAUGGUACUUUUAUCGGGUAUAUUUAUAAUUCAACAAUUUUAUUUUCUAUCGAAUCCGUAGCUCUUCAACAUAUGAAAGCAAUCCCUUAGCUCGAAUGCCACACUCUCAUGAAGGCAAAAAGGAAAUAAAGCUACAAAUUUCCCCAAAAACAUUUCCUUGCAAACCGCAAUACCAAUUAUGAACUGAUUCGUACAAGCCUUUGACGUGAUAAGAUGAAACCAAUAAACAUAAUGUUACAUCAUCCAUAAAUGGGUAGGCAAAAUUUGAGCCCUGGUCAACUCUACAUUCACAGUAGCUUUGAGAAUAAAAGCGUAAAAAUACUAUGGAAGUCAAAAUUUUACACAAUUGAUAAUAUUUUAAUUUUUUACUAAAAAUUUAUAAAUUAAUCUUCGUAUUUUAUAUGAAAGGAUAUUGUUAAAUGCUUGUGUUGCAAUUGAAGUAUAAUAGACCCGUCUAUCUAGUUAUCCGAUUCGGUCUAAAGACUCGUCUAAAAAAUAAGAGAGUUUAAGUAAAAAAUAUAAAAUCAAAAAAUAGACUUAGAAAAAAAAUAAGAUCCAUUUAAAAAACGGACAAGCCUCGUCUAAGGUUUUUUUGCCCCAUCUAAUCUAAGCCCAAAUAUGCAAAAAAAAAAAAAAAACUCUUGUUUUUUUCUUUUCCUGUUUUAUUGUUGUUUUUGAAUGUUUUGUUGCUAACUUUAUUAUUAUUAUUAUAUUGCUACUAUUUUGUUAUUAUUUAGAUGUUAUAUAAUUCUUGUUUUAUUGUUGAUUUUAUUGCUAUUUUAAAAGCAUUUUAUUGUUAAUUUGCACAAAUCUUAGUGUUAUUUAAGUAUACAUAUUGUUUUUAGUUUAUUUUUAAUUUGUAGGGAAAUAUUUAUUUUAAUGUUUUUAGUAUUUUUGUUGUAUUAUAUAUAUUAAAAUCAUAUAAAAAAUAUAUAAAAUAAUUAAUACAAUGGGCCGGGGUAGAAUUUUAUUAUUUUAUUUAAGUCGCGCUGGGGUAAAAAUUUAAGCUCAUUUUUCAGGUCGAAACUGGGCAUAGCAAUCCAACCUAAAAAAUAAUAAUCUGGAAAAUGAAUUAAAAAAUUACUCAACCCAAAUUAUUAAAAAAAAGCAUAAUAGGGUUUGUCUACUUGUCCAGCUUAGUUUCAACUUGUGGGGCCUUAAACCCCAAAGCCCCAACUCCCAUUUCAUUUAGUCUGAUCCAUUGUCACUGCUUCUAUUAAUUGAGCCCAUUUGUAGAGUGUGGUAAUCCUGUUGUAUUUGAAUGAUUAUUCCCACUAGUUAAGCCAUCAUCAUCUCCAUUCGAAAUCUCCUCCUGGAUAUUAGCUAAUAAACUAAAAUUUGAUCCCCAAUUAUACCGCCUGAAUUAUCUCCUAAUUCCAGCUUUCCUUUCCCCCAAGUCUUCUAGGCCGUUUCUCGACCACCAUCCACAACCCCUAACUCUCUUUCUCGAACGGGCAUAUGGCUCGCAUGUCUCCUAGCCCGUUUCCAAAAAUUAGAUCGAUGGAAUGUCAUCUAUUAUAUUUGUGACAACAUAAGUCUCUUAAUCUAUUUCCGAGAUUUAGAUCGAUGGAAUGCCGUCUAAUGUAUUUGUGGCAACGUAAAUCUCUUGGCCAGUUUCCAAAAAUUAAAUCUAUGGAAUAUUAUCUGCUAUAUUUAUGACAACGCCACCAUCAAUAAGAUCUAUAUCCUCACCCAAUCAUUUUAUUUUAGAUUGGUUGUUACUUGAUACUAAAUUCAUCAAGCGUCUCUAAAUGAAGCACAACUACCCUCCAAAAAUCUUUAUAGACGAAACACCAUAUUAUAAAGCUAUGUAAUUAAUAAAUGAAGAAUCGAAACUUAAUUAUAUACUAUUGUAGUUCAUAUCAUAUCUGUUAAAUUAAUUUUUUUAAUUAACUCAUUACAACUAUGUAUGAAUUGUUUAUUAAUUAAAGUAAUUAUAUUUUCUCAUAAUAACAAGAAAUUAUUUAUGAUUAAUUUAAUUUCUUUGAAUAAUUAUUAAAUUGAAUGAAUAAAAUAAAUAAUUUAAUCCAAACUUUAAAAUAAAUUAAAUAUGAUAUUAUUCGAAAUUGAAAUAAUCUAUAGUUAAAUUGAAUUAAAUUUGCACAUAAUUUUGAAUAUAGUAAAAUUGAAAUAAUUUUAACAAAAUUAGAAUUGAAGUUUAGAAAUUGUUUAAAUAUAUAAAUUACUUGUCACCCAAGCAAAGAUAAUUCGAACAAGCAUGGUCAGCCAUGGGGUUUCUUAACCCCCUAAGAAAUCCAUAGGCCAUGGGGUGUCCUUAUAGGACUAACACUUCUCCGCUUUGACUGUUUUGAUUAAACUCUUGCAUAAUUUCCCUAUAUAAAUAAGAAGCAUGAUCGAUCACCUUUAGCACUUCAAUACUUCGUGAACAUUUUAUUUUCUCAAAAGGAUUAAUUUCAAUUUUCGAUAUUUUCUUACAUAAUGUGUUAGUCGAAUAUUAAUUUAAUUGAAAAAAAUGAAAAAAAUUAAAAUUAUAUAAUAAAAACAAUAUAUUAAUAAAGUUAUAUAAGUAAUUUAUUUUUUAAAAUGAAAAAAUCACUAUCUUGAUACUUAAUAAUCUUAUCAAUAAUGAUUAUUUUUCAUUAUUUAAAUAUAUUUAAAAAUAUUUUUAUUACUUUCACCCAAGACUAAUAGAUUUUAGAAGUAGAAUUCAUUCCUGUUGCAGGCCUUCUUUAUGGAUGGUGGGCCACACCAUUGCACACUGAGUUUUGGAUAGUAUAUGGGCUUAUAAAGUAAAGCCGGACCACUGAUGGUUUGUUUUUUAGGUAAAUUCCACAAAUAGUCACCUAACUAUUCAAAGUUUUCGUUUUGAUCAAUUUAGGCAUUCUAGUCGAAAUUGCAUAUGGAAAAUAUGGAAAACAUAGGUGUUUUUUUUCUAAAUUAAAAUAUUAUUUAAAAAAUUUCAGCUAAUAAUUUCAUUUCCAUGUCAGUGGGCAAAAAACUCCAUUGGAGCUUAACCCUAAGUCAAUUGUUUCGGCGAGGAAAAAAUUACAGGGUGAGUUAGGGCCUAGAGGUGAGACUUUGAUUCUCCGUUAUCAUUUCUAACAUCGACCUCUCGAAGUCUUCAUACGAAUCUUCCGAUUUCUUCAUCACCACUACGCUCUCCGGCACCUUCUCUUCCGCCGCUCUCGAUGAACCUCUCCAUGGUGGAUUUUCAUUCUCUGAUGACAAUCCUUUAUGCCUCUUCUUUUUCGUUGUCAUCACACUGUUUGCUUUCUUUCAUUUUUCCCUCUCAAUUUCUUGUCUUCACUGCUGUAUCACUAGUACCAGAGAAAAGGGGCAAAAAUAAUGCAAAUGUCCCCAAAUUUUAAGGUCCUCUGUCACGUAAAUUUUGCUAAAAUGGGGAAGGUUUGUCCUUGGACCACAAUAGAAAAUUGGAAUUAAACUGUAGCCAGCUACAGUUGCUUUGUUCCUUGGAAAUUUUGGGGAAGAUGAGAAUCUCAAGUUGCCAAUUUAUCAUCACCACCGCCUCAACCCCAUUGAAGAAGGAAUCUUAACUGUAGCUUUCUUUUUUAAUGCAUUAGGCUGUGCUGGAAAUUACAAAAAAUUGGUGGAAAAUCGGAAUGUUAGGAAAAAAUUUCUAAGUGGGUUUUCGUGUGUAAGUUUAAGGGGAGCACUCAAAUUGAUCAAAUUAUAUAAUGAUGGUGUUUAAAUGACCUAAAAUGAAAUUUUUUAAUAUCUCAUUUUUUUUUUAAACUUUAACAGGCUUAAUAUACCAUUUGAUAAUUAUAUUUAGAGCCAAUGUUCAAUUAAACUAAAUUGUAUAUUAAAACCAAAUUCAAGUAUAAAAAUAAAAAAGAACAUAUAAAUAUUAAAUCGAACUCUAAAAUUAAAUAUAGAUACCAAAUAAUAUAUUAACCCCUCUAAAUAUUACACUAAAUUAUUUGAGUUGUUAGUUUGCUUAAAUUCCAUAAGAAAUUGGAUUCAUAAAAUUUAUCUUACCCAUCAAUGAUAAAGUUUUUAAAAGGCUUAAUGAUAAAUUUGACCACUUAACAUUUAUAUUUUUUAUCAAAAUGGUCCUAAUUGUAUUUUUUAGUCUUUUUUGGCCAUCAACCUUUGAUUUUUUUUUCAAACUACAUUUUCUAACAGAUUUAAUAAAUAAAUUUACGAGAUUUAAUGAAUAAAUUCAAGGUUUCAAUCUUUCUCAUGUUUGUUUAUUGAAAAGUUUUUCUACUGAGUUAAUUAUUUUAGAUAAUUACGUUUAUUUUCUUUAAAUUAAGAGUUAUUUUUUAAUUUAAUGUAUUAUUUAUUUAUUUUAUUAUUUUUCACGUGUAAUUAUCUUAUUAAGUUAUCUAAAUAAUACAUUAUUUAUCAUUAAAAAUAUUCCACACAUGAAAUUCCACAUAAUCCCUAUUAACUUUUUUAACAGUACUUUCAUUAAAAUUGUUAGAAAAAGCAAAUUGAAAAAAGGAACAAAGGUUGAUGGCCAAAACAAGCUCAAAAAUAUAAUUAGGAUCAUUUUAACAAAACAUGCAAACGUUAGUGGCCAAAAUUAUCGUUAAACCUUUUUAAAACUUGUUAGUACUUAUCUUUUAAGGAAUAAUUUUAAAAACCAUAAAAUUUAGAACAAUAAGAAAAACACAGGAUAUUAUCUAGUAUAAUUAGAGGGCCCAGGGGCCUUGGUCCCAAAGUUAUUUGAAAAUUUGAAAAUUUUCUUUAAACCUUUUUAUUCUUUUUAAAUUUUAAUUAGAUCCUUCCUGAAUUUUUAUCAAUUCCCAUUAGGUCUUUAAAAUUUUUAAAAGUUUUAAUUAAAUCUACUAAAAACUUUAAACAUUCUCAAUAAAUUUUUGAAAAUUUUAAUUAGGUACUCAAAAUCUUUUUUCCUUGUAAAAUAAAAAGAAAUUUCUCAAUUAUAUAAGUCCUUGAAAAUAUUAAUGGGCAAUUAAACCAUAUUUUUAUGAAGUGUAUAUUCGUUUUCGCAUUUUAAAUAUUUUUUUAUGAUAAAUGAUGCAUGUGGUUGGGAUAUGUGGCUCUUCCAUUACUCCCUCUUAAAGAAAAAAACUAACGCACCCUUGUAAUCUAAAAAUAUUUUGAUUCCUUCUCUCUCUCUUCUCUCUCAUAUUUUAUGUACUUUUAAAGUACUCCUUUUUGUACCUUAACUCUUUCAUUUUCACUCCUCUCUAUAAAAUAAAACGCUUUUUUUUUUACUCUCAGCUUCUUUUUUUUUUCUCUUCUUUGAUCUUUCUUUUUUUUUUUUUGAUCUUUCUUUUUCUAGGUAUAAUGAAGAAACUGAUGAGGAGACUGUCACGAGUUAGGGUAAACCACUCGACUCAGUACUCAAUGCUCCGAUCCGAGGCAUCCGAUCCUCCUGCGGACCCCACCAAGCGAAGAUCCGACGUACCGGAAGGGCAUUUCCCUGUUUACGUCGGGAUGGAUCAGUCGUCGACACGUAGGUUCAUCGUCAGUGCUGAGUUGCUGCGGCGUCCGAUCUUUGUUGAGUUGUUGAACAGAUCGGCUCAAGAGUACGGGUACGAGCAAAGGGGAGUGUUGAGGAUCCCCAUUAACAUCGUCGUAUUUGAACGUGUUCUUGAAUCUCUCAGGCAAGGUCGAGAUCCCUCAAGCCUAGAUGAAUUGAUCUAGAUUUUUUACAUAAUUACUAAGAUAAAAAAGAAAAAAGGAAGAAUGCUGUUUUUCCUUUCUUUCUUUCUUUCUUUUUUUUCAAAAAAAAAAAACGAUAAUUCUUAUUAGGUGAGAUUCCUCGUUGUCCUUUGUAUAUAAUGUGGUGAAGGGAAAGUAGGUUUCCUUGCUGUAAAAUAGCAGUUAGUUGAAAAAACCAGCAAAAUUAAAGUUAAAGACUCUUUUCUUUCCUUAAGAAAUUUGAUUAUUAUAAAUAAAAAAGAAGCGAGUAAUUUAUUUUAUUUCCUUUUUUUCUUUUGAUAAUUUGAGUGAUUUUUUGCAGAUAUAUUAGAAUUAGUUUGUUAAUCACACUUAUUUUAAUAUUAUUGCUAAACUUAACUUUUAAGCUAAUUAAAAUAAAGUAUCUUAUUACUAAAGCUCUGAAUAAUUAGUAGCUUAGAUUAGAUAAGUAGACUUUUUAAAAUUUACUUUAGAGAAAUUGAGCAGUUAACCUCUUUUAUUUUAAGGCUAAAUUAUUAAAAUAUUACUUUUAUUUUUUUCGGGUUAUAUUUUAGUUAUUUAUGUUUAAAAUAUUACGUUUUAGACAUUUAUUUUAAUAUAUUGUAAUAUUUUAAUUACUGAGUUGUUAAUUGUAACUAACGGUAUAACGGUAAGUUAAUUUGCUAUGAUAAAUCAUUAUUUCAAAUAAAAAUUUUAAGUUAAAUUAUAUAAUUGGUCUCUAAAUUUUUUUUUUCAUUUUGAGCAAUUUAUUCUUUUAACUUUCUUUAUUUUCUAUUAUGUUCUGUUUCUCCCCCAUAUUUUCUCCUUUUUCUUUUAACCUAAAAUCUUCAUUUAAAACAAUAAUUUAACAUGCUACGUUAAUUCAUUGUUGCAUCGUUAAUAAUAAUUAACGCUUAAUGACUAAAAAAUGUAACUUUAAGAAAAACAAAAAUAAUUAUUUUAAUAAUUUAUCAUUAUUUUAAUUGGUUAGAAUUUAAUUUUCGUAUUUUAUCAAAUUGUUCGAUUGUUUAUAAAUACAUGGAAAUUAUUUAUUUAUUUUAUUUAAUAAAAAAUAUAGUUUAAAAUUGAUGCCAAAAAAUUAGGCGAAUGAGUAGUAGGGGGGGAUUGGGUUUGAAUUCGAAAGGGAGGGAUUACGGAAUUGUACCGUCAUUCAAAGAGUACAACAACUGUCGUUGUACGGAAUCCUCAAAUUAGGUUCUUAAUAACAAAAAAAAGCCUCCGAAAGUUACUUGUAACGUAAUCUGCAACUGUAGAUUCCUUUUUGUAUUAAUAUAUUCUGAUGUCGACACGUGGUACAACAUAAAAUAAUGAUUAAAUUAAAUUAAAUUUUAGAUGGAAAGAAGGGAGACGCAUAUUUUAAGUGCGUUGCCGUGUAGUCAAUUACCAAUUGCAUUGCAUGUGAUUUAUAGAAAUUUGUUUCAACAUAUUCCCCUCCCCCCCCCCAAUUGCUUCUUAUAUAACUCGCUUUAAUUAUCAUGUAACUGCCAUUUCUUCGUUACUCGUCACCCUUUUUCUUUCAAAAAAAACAAUUUUAGAUUAAUACGAGUAUUUUCAAAUUAGACAGUACUGAAGCUAUUCAAAUUAUUUAAAAAAAUAUAGUUAAUUAGUAUUAUUAAACUGUGACACGUGCUAUUAAAAAUAUGUAACAACUUACAUGUAUGAUUAAAGUUACUCGUACCUUUAGAGUGAAUAAUAAGGUAGUUGAUGGGUUAGCAUUAAUGGCGUUUUUAAGAUUGGUGGAUAGAUACUUCUUCAUGCAACUGUCGGAUAAAAUCCUCUUGUUAUUACAUAAUUAUUAUUUUGGAAUGGCUUGAACCCUGUUAUUUUAAGCUAUGGUUUAAUCCUUAUCUUUGCACCAAAAUAUAUAUAAUUUUAUUUUCUUGAUUUUUAAGUUGGAUAAACGUUGUUAUCCUUUAGUGUAAGCAUGUCUCGUUUAACUUUUAUUAUAUUUAUGCUAUUUUUAAUUAUAUAUAAAAAAAUAUAUGAAUAUAUUUUAUAAAAUAUUUAAAUAUUUUUUAUACAAUAUUUAGAAUUAUUGUUGAUAUUUUAAUAAUUUAAUCGUUGAAUUUAUUAAUAUAAUUGUACAUUCAUUUAUGUAAAAUUUCAAAUCGAUCUGAUAUCUAUCAUAUUGAUUUAUAAGAUUGUUUAUAUUAAUAUUGUCCAAGGUUAAACCUUGAAAGGAAACCCCUCAACUGGUUUAUAACAUCAUUUUUUUUCUAUGGUCAACUUUUGCUAUUAGUCCAUGUACCCUGCAUAAGUUGGGGAUUUAAUCCUUUUAAUUUGAUUAAAUUUAGUUGCUAUAGUACUUUUCGAAGUAUUUAAUUUUAGUCCAUGUACAUUUUAAUUUUGAAAUCCUAGUCCUAACCAAAUGAUAGUAGUUAAAUAUGUUUGGUUAAAUUCUACUAUUAACAAUGCACUAUGUGUAAAGUUGUAGGUUUAGUCCAUGUUCUCCAAUUGGAUCAUUCUUAGCCACUAUAUUCCUCGAAUUUUAAAAUUUUAGUUUUAAUGUAAACGACCAUUGUUAAAUUUAUUAAUUGGUGUUUUUAGUAAUAUCUGAAAUAAUAAAUUGACAUGACAUUACACAUACGAUAAUAAGUUUGCCGCAUCAAAUUUUGAAAAUAUUAGAACUUAAACUAAUGCAUUUAAAAUUGUCAUUUGUUCGAGACUGAAAUAUUAAAUUUUGUUAAGAACAAGGACUAAAAAUGAUCAAAUUAAAGAAUAAGGGCUAAAUCCAUAACUUAUGUAUAGUAUAGGUACUAAUAUUAGAAUUUAACAUUUUAUCAUAAAAAUGAUCACGACUUUCGGGCCCAAAAUGUAAAAAGUUAAUGAAGGAGAUAGCUAGUCUUAAAAAUAUAGGCCCAAAAAUGUUAGAGGUGCCAGUGGAUUAACGGGAUCAGCCCAAAUUAUAACUUAAAAAAAAACUUUUGGGCCUCUAUUUUAAAAGAUUUUUUUUUAUUUUUAAUGUGAAUUUUAUUAUUUAUGUUCCGAAUUUAUGGCUUCAUAAAUAUUUUAACAUUUUUAAAAAAAAUAAAAUUACAUUAUUAAUAAAUACAAAUAUAAAUAUAUAUAUAUUUUUGCAAAUUCAAAAAUUAUUUCUGUUUGAGUUAGUUUUAAUUAACAAAUAUUGAUCAAAUGAAGCAUUUAGGAUCUGUUUGGAUAACACAAAGUAAUUGAAUGAAAAUGUAACUACUAGUGUAGUAACUACACUUUUUCGUAAUUACAAAAAAUUGUAAUUCUCUAGACAUUAGUUGACGGAGUGUAAUUAGAUUGUGAUUUUCUAUAUCAUAUUUGAUAGUAAAAAUUUUAAUUACACAGUCACAUAAUUUAUAUAUUUUUAAAAAAUUAUUAGCAAGAUGAAAAAAUUUCUAAACAAGUAAUAAAUUAAAAUCAAAUCAACAUAUGUAUUAUGUUAAUCCAAAAAAAGUAGUUGAUAAUACAAAUUGCUAAUAAAAAUAACAAGAAAAACAAACACCAUAUGUAAUUUUAUCUAAUUGUUCUAGUGUUCUAUAUUUGUUGAGUUAUUCCCUCCUUAAUAUUUCAUAGAACCUCCUUUUCAUCAGAUGUUGGUCUUUGACUAAGUUCAUCAUCAUCUAGAUUUUAACCAUUAAAAUUAUCAAUAUUUUUUUUUCCAUAUACUCUUUGAAGUAUAGAUCAUCCAAAAUCCACCUACGAAUGAAGCUAUGAAGUAUGCAACGUGCUAAAACAAUCCAACUUUAUUUUUUCUAUACUAUAUUAAGGUGGUGUUGUUAAUAUUGGAAAUAUUUUUUUUAUAACAAACAAAAGUCCUCUCAAGCCUCAACUACAUUUUGAAGCCUUAAAUGUCCCAAAUUAAAGAGUUCAUGAGUCGUCUUUAGUGCUUGUGUCUAGCUCUAUUUUCUCAAAUGGUAUUUUACCCCACGAUAUGGUGCAAGAAAACAUUUUGUAUUUACAUAAUCAACAUCUACCAUGUAAUAUUUGGAUUCUUAAUGCAAAUAGUAUGUAGCUUUAAUUAUAAAAAACUUCUAUAAACUUAAUUUGGAGAAAGAAUUAUGUUAGGUUAUAAGCCAUUUUAUAAUAUGUAAAUUAAGUGAAAAUAAUAUAAAAUUUAUAAGAAAUAACAUUUAUAAAAAAAUUCAUAAAAUGUCCGAUAAUUUUCAUAACACUUCUUAUAAAUAAUAUAAAUUUUAGCUACAAACUAUAACACUUUUUUCAAUGAAUAAACAUUAUUUUUAUAAUAUAUUGCAUAAAUACAUAAAUAAGUUAUGUCGAAACCAUUCUUUUGAAAACGGGGAUCGACUUUGUUUGAAAGUGAAAAUUAAAACGGGAGUCGCCACCAAUCUUUUAUCAGGUGUGAUCGGAUCACCUUUGUUUUAAUAAAUCAAAUUUAGUGUACUAAAACAGGGCCUUUGGUAUACGAAACUUGAGAGAAUGAGUUCAGGAGUCGGUUACGUGCGAGGAAGGCUUAGCACCCUCGACACGCCCAAAAAAUUGGUACCGAAUUGAUUAGUUAGUGUCUUAAUGUCGAAAAUUAAAAAUCGGGAAGGGACUUGAAAUACGAUCUUUUCUAUUAAUAUUGAUUUUAAAAUUCUUGAAUUAGCUUAAAUCGAUUUGUUUAAAGAUUUCCUUAUCUCGAGAUAUCGGAGUAUCACAUCCCGUAAGUUAGGAUACAAUACCAUGAAUUCCCGAGCACAAGGUCGUCUUUUGAUUUAAAUUGGAAAUCCGUGCAUUUCAAAACUCAAAAGGAUAUUUAGCUAUUUAGAACCAACAAGAGAACCGAAACCCCGUAAGUUAGGGCACAAUUCUUCGAUGUUCCAAAAUGCGAAACAUUGCCUUAUUCAUUGAAAUUAGUAAAAACAUGAAUAAAAAUCUUUAAAGUAAUGAACAACAGAAUGAUAUAAAAUAGGAGGGAGACAAAAAUAAACGAGUUGGAAAUACAUUGAAACAAAUAAUAAAUAUGACAACAAUAUUAAAACAAUAACAAUGCAUGCGAUAUAUUAAACGUAAUAAUAGUAUCCAAUGUGAAAUAAAAACAACGAAUAUAUACAUAAUAAAGAUAUUAAGAGUAUGUAUGUAAAAUAUAUAUAUAUUUAUAAAUAGUAAUAGUGUUAGAAAUAUACGAUAUAUAGUGUUUGAAGUAUAUACAUAAAAUAGUGAAAACAUAACUAGUAAUGUUAAGAUAUAUAUAAUAUAUACAUAUGUAUAAAAUAGAUAUAAAAAAAAUAUAUAUGUACAUAACAUAUAUGAAUAUAUAUAAUAAUAUUAAAAUAAAAUAAUAAGUGAUAAUAGUGAAAAUAAUAGGUAUAAUAAUAAAUAUGAUAAUGUAUGAAAAUAAUACUAUAUAUAAAAGUAUACAUAUACUCAUAUAAUAAAAUAUAUGUACUAGUAUUAACAAUAAAUAUAAUAGGGAUAAAAAUAGAUAUAAUAAUAAUAUGUACAAAAUAUGGUAUUAAAAAGCAUAUAACAUAUAUGUAUAUAACAUAAUAUUUAUAUAUGUACAUAAGAUGAUAUAAAAAAUAUAUACAUGGAACAGCAUAAGAAUUAUAUGUAACUAAUAACAUUAAUAUAUAUAUAUAUAAUAUAUAAAAUACAUAUAAUAUAUAUAUUAGAAAUGAUAAUAAUAUAAAAACUAUUCAUACGCUAUAUAAAUACAUACAUAUAUAUAAAUAAUAAUGAUGUUAGAAAUAUACAAUGAUAUUAGAAAUAUAUAUAAAAUAGUGUAAAAGUUGUAAAACUAAUAAUGUUAAAAUAUAUACACAAUAAUAUAUAAAAAAUACAAUAUUGAAAACAUAUAUACAUAAUAUAUACGAAAAAUAUAUAGAUAUACAUAAUAUAAUAUUAAAAUAUUUACAUAAUACAUAAAUAUUAGGGAUAAAAACGACUAAUAAUAAUGCUACAUAAGUAUAUACAUAAAUAUAUUAAAAACAUAUACAUAUAUAUAUAAAUAAAAAUAUAUAUAUACACUAAUAUAUAGUAAUCAUGAUAAUAAUAAUAUUAAAAUAUAGAAAGUAAAUAUAAUAAAGAUAUUAAAAUAAAGUAAUAAAUUAACAACAUAUAUAAAUAUAUAUAUACAUAUACGUAUGUAAAAUAUACAUUACUACAUAGUAAUAUUAAUAAUAGUAAUAGAUUGAUAUUAGUAACAAUAAUAAUAAUAGGAAACAGCAGUAUAAAUAAUAGCAAAAAUGAUAAAAUUAACUAAUUUAAUGACAAAAUAGCUAAACCAUAAAAAAAAUAUUAAAUCAAAAUUAAAACAGAAAGCUUGGGGCGAAUUCGCAAUAAAAACAAAAAGAAAGGACUUGAUUGGACGCGCACAAAACAAAUGAGGGCUAUAUUCCUCCCCUCAAAACACAACACAACAAAAGGGACUAAAUCACAAAGCGUUACAUGCUUUGUGGCCAAAUUAAAAAAACUGAAAAAGUACUUGAUUGUAGAAGCAUGAAAAAGCGGAGGGACUAAAAGUGCAAUUAGCCCCUCCAAUGAAAAACACGCGGAUCCUUGGAGCGGGCUGGGUCAAUAAAAGGGUUAGGCCAAAACGACGUCGUUUUGGGGUUUAAAGGCCAACCCCAAAACGACGUCGUUUUGGGGGCUAUAAAAGGGCUAAAAUUUGCACACAAAAAAAUUAUUUGGUGAGGAGAGAAAGAAAAAAAAAGAGAGAAAAGGAAGAGAGAAGGGAGGGGGAAGGAGAUUUCAGGCCAUGGGCCGGUCACCGGCCGAUCGCCGGACCAUCGUCGCUUUCCUCUUUUUUUUUUAUGUUUUAAAAUAUUAUUUUUAUUUCUAUUUAUGUAUUUAGAUAGGAAAGAACAAAAAGAUUCGAAAAUGAACAAAAAAUAAAAAUAAAAAAAUAGUAGAUUCAUCUUAGGGUUUGAUCUGAUUCGAUGAUAUUGCACUGUUUUGGUAUUUUGGAAUUAUUCUUGUAUUUUAACCUACUAGUAUUGAUGCAAAAAAAAAUCCUCUUUGUAUUGAUAGCCAAAAAUUCUUUUCUCUUUUUUCUUACAUGAUUUUUGAAUGGCUUUUUAUAGCCAUCUUUUACAUGAUUUUCUAUUAUUUCUUUUUCUAUUUCUUUUGUAGGUGAUGGUGGCAGACAAUGGAUAUCAAAAAUGGGAGAAAAAUAGGGCAAGUGGGAAAGUGGCUAGGUGGCUAGGGUUUCUUCCUUUCUCUUUUUGCUGGAAAAUGUUUAAUAUUAGUGGGCUAGGUUUAGGGUUUGUGAGUUGGGCAUGUAAUGGACCAUUGGGUUUGGGCUGUUUAACAAUUGGGUUAUUUGUAAAUGGACUGGGCCAAAAUUGGCCUAUAACAAGUUAUGUCCAUAUUUCUUAAUCGUAACAUUGUACAAUUAAAUAUAUUAUAGAACUUUUAUGACAUGUAAAUUAUUUUUAUAAUAAACUUUUUUAUCAUAAUUUUAAAAAUUAAGAUUUAAAUUAUAUAAUUUUUUGUUAUAACUUUAUAAAACACAAAUAAAUUAUUUUUAUAAUAUAUUUUUUAGGAUUUAUAAUAUAAUAAAUCUUUCGCUAUAACUAUUCCAAACACUCAUACAUGUUCAUACUUAUAAUUAGGGGUGAGCGUUCGAUCAAAUUAAGUGAAAAAAAUUCGAGUUAGUCAAGUUCACAGUUCUAUUUUAUCACCCUAACUCAAUUUGAUAUUUUUUCACAUUGAGUCGAGUUAAAUUAUUCGAGUUAAAUUUAAAAAAUUAAACAUGUUAAAUAAAAAUAUUAUUAAAAUAUGACCAAUUCAAUGUUAGAGUACAUAAAUUUGAAAUGAUAUAUAUUUGAAAUUCUUUUCAAUGCAAAAUAAUAAUAAAAAUAAGAUACUUGAGUAUUAUAAUUUUGAAUCAUUAAUUAGGUUCCAAAAUUAUUAUUUUAGAAAUUUUUUAAAAUUUUAAAUUUUUUUUAUAUAUAUUUUAGAAUUUUUUAAAAAAAUUAUAUAUUUUUUAAAAUCUUAUAAAUAUUUUGAAUUUUAAAAAUUAUUUUGAUUUUUUUUGUAAUUUUUUUUAUAGAGACCAGUUUGCUUAUUUUCGAAGUUAAUAGGAACCAAAAGAGUAUUUACACUAAUCUGUUAUUUGAAUUAUUCAAGUUUUCGAAUUGUGAAAUUCAGCUCGACUUGAACUCGAAACUCGAAUUGAGUUAUUCCAAUUAACUCGAAUAAUUCGGAUAACUCGAAUAACUCAAUUCGAUUAACUUGAAAUUCUUUUCAAUUUUUUCAAAACAAAUCGAAUUUUGCUCACCCCUACUUAUAAUAUAAAAAAUUAUAACUUAAACUUAUAUAAAAUAUAAAUUUUGAAAAUUCAUUUUCGAUGUAAUUAGUUGCGUAAUUACUCUAAUUAUCAUAUUUACCUUAAGAAUUAAAAAGUGUAAUUGAGUACUUUAAUCACACUCAAUCGAGUAAGACCAAUCAAGUACAAUAACUAUCCAAACGUAUCAUCUUAUAUAACUCCAAAUAAUUGCACAUAAAUUUAAUUCUUAAAUGCCUUAAAGAUAAUUAAUUUAUAUUCUGAUCCGAUGUUUGGAAGGAGGAAAAAGCCCGAUGUGGGAGCCUACUAACAUUGAAUAAAAAAGUGAGUCGACUAACAAGAGAUGAGUUAGUGAUGCGAGUGAAGAGUUGGUACUUGAGCCGCCGGCUCAAAAAAUUGGUGACCACAUAUUAUUAGAUUUAGAGAUAUAAAAUCUUCACUAAUUACUGAUUUUGUUGAUUAGGGUUGUCGCCUGUCAAUCCAUAUCUCCCUAUCGUUGAACUCUCCACACAACAUAGUCCUCUGUUCUUCAUAACUUGUCUAUAAUAUAAUGAGUUAAUUUAAUUGGUGCUUUUGUAGUCUUAGAAAUUCGAAUUAUAUUUCCACUCAGGAUGGACUUGGAUGGGCGGUUAGGUGUAGUGUGGAGCAUUUAGUUUUUUUUUUUGUCUCACGUUACAGUAUCUAAUUUCACAGUCACCGCUGUUUUUAUACUAACCACAAGUAAACACACCGCUCAUCCAAACACACACUUAAAAGGAAUGGAAGAAAAUAAAAAGCUUCAAAAUUUGAUCUACUUCUCUAAACUAGAAACUAAAAAUAAAGAGACCAUACCCAAUAAAAACUACUUUCAAUAAUAGAGUAUAGGCCUCACCCUCUCUCCCAGUUUUUAGGUUUAAUUCGUAAAGUAACCCUUGUAAAAUAAGAAAAUUAUCAAGUUGGUACUUGAAAAAAUUUGGUCGGUUUGACACAUCAACUUUCGUUCCCAUCCAUCCCCCACUUAUUUUCUCAUGCAAAAACGAAAAGGACAUGGUAAUAAAUAACCAAUAAAUUCGUGAGACAAGUUCACAGAUUUCCACCUAAAAACCACAUCAUCUCAUAAAAAAUCCAAUAAAAAUAAAAGAAAAAUAAAUAAAAAUUCUGAAACUUUUAAAAAAAAAAAACAUUCUGAAAUUUUCAAAAAAAAUUGAAAUUAUUUAAAAUAAAAAAUUUUAAAAAAUAAAUUCUCAAAAAAUUGAAACAUUCAGACUUUUUUACAAUUUUUUAAAAAGUUCCCAUUUUUUAGUAUAUAUAAUUCCCAAAACAUCUAAAAAUUUCAUAAUUCUAGAAAAAAAAAAUCCAAUUUUCAAAAUUAUAAUAACACAAAUUAAAAAGCACAAAAUUAUCAAAAAAUAAAAAAAAAUCCAAAUAUUCAUAAACUUUUCUGAAUUCAAUAAAAAAUUGAAAUUAUAGUAACAAAAAAGUACAAAAGAAUUCAUAAAAUUCUGAAACAAAUAGAAAAAAAAAAUCUCAGAAAAUACAGGGAAUUCUAAGAACAAUAUCCGAAACUUUUCUAGUUUUUUUGAAUCUAUUUUAGAAUUUUAUGAAUUUUUACGAUAUUCUAAUUUGAGGGAUUUCUUUUUAGAAUUUUAAUUAAAAAUCUUGUAACUUUUCAGAAUUAUAAGUUUUUUUCUAGAAUUUUAUAAAUUUAAAACAAUUCUUUUACAAUCUAUUUGUGCUCUUGUAAUUUCUUAAAAUUUUCAGAUUUCUUAUUUUUUAAAAUUUCUGAAUGUUUUAAUUUUUUCUAGAAAAAAGUUAGAUUUAUUUUCCUUGUUUUAAUUGCAAUUUUUUUAUAAAUUUAAAAAAGAAUCUUAAUUUUUCGAAAAAAAUUCAAUUUUAUUUAUUUUUAUAUUUUUAAAAAUUAUAUGAUUUCGAAAUAAAAAAUGACAACUUUCCUAUGUUUAAUAAUUACAUAAUUUUGAAAAUUUCUUUUUAGUUUAUAUUUUUUUUAUAAAAAGUUUAGUAUUUUAUUUUAUUUUAUGAAUUUUUAAAACUUGUACCACUCAUUUUUGCGUUAUUAUUUUUUUAUGGAAAUUUUCGCAUUUCUAAUAUUAGUUUUCAAAAUUUUCUUUGACCUGGCAUUUAUUAUAUGGCUUUAAGAUUUUAGAAGUUCAUUGAUCAAUGAUAAAACGUGGAAGAAUCAUGUUGAGAAAAUAUGUUUUUGAGAAUUUUUAGGGUGGAUUUGGAUAAGCAGUAAAUGCGGUGCGAUUAGUUUAUUUUUUAUCUCGUAUUAUAAUAUUAUAUAAUUUUAUUGUCACUAUUAUUUUUACACUAACAGAAGAUGUUAGAUUUAUAAGGAUAUUUAUACUAAAAAAAUCUUUGUAAAUUUAUUCCUUAUAUUUAAGACUUAUUCUAAUGCUAUUUUAGAGGAAUUUGAAAUUCACAUUGAUUAGAUUUUUGCAAGCCUAAAACGUCUAUUUAACAAAAGGCUUUGAUAAUUUUUAUAGGAGACUAAAAGAGCAUUUAUUCUGUUGAAGCUAGAAACUUCUUCAAAUCCAAAUUCAUUGUAUGUAAAAUGUUGUUGUACAGUUUUCAACGGUGAUUAGUUUUGGCUGGAGGGUGAUCUAAAUGAAGUAUAGGAACAAGGGUACAAUUUGUUGAAUCAGGCAAGAGAUGCAGGUUUGGUAACUGGGGUGAAAGCUAGACAUGGAAGGCGUUCGAUUACACACCUAUUAUUUGCCGAUGAUAGUUUCUUUUUUGGUGAUGCAACAGUGGAUAGGGCGGAGAAUAUUAAGUCUCUUAUACAGAUAUAUGCAAGCUGUUGGGGGCAAUGUAUAAAUUUCGACAAAUCAUUGAUUUGUUUUCAGCAGCAAUGUUGAUCAUGGGAAUUGGGAGAUGAUAUAGAAUGUGCUUGGGGUUCGAACAGGGGCGAAGUCAGAAAAUUUUUUAGGGGGCCGGAUGAAAUUUUAAUUUUUUAUAAUUUAUAUUUUUAUAAUUUGUAAAGGAUUAAAUUGAAUUUUUAUAAUUUUAGGGGGACCAAAGUGUAAUUUUACCUUUACUAAUUUAAAAUUUUUCAAAAAUUUCAAGAGCCUAAAAUGAAAAUUUCCAUUUUAGGGGGGGUCGGGGCCCAUGCCAGCCCCCCUGGAUACGCCCCUGGGUUCGAAGUUCUAAUAAUCCUAGACGGUAUCUGGGCCUACCAACACUGAUUGGGAGGAAUAGGAAGGCUGCUUUUUCUGGGCUCAAAGAUGAGAUGCAGGAGUAUGGGUGAGCAAAAUUCGAUUCGAUUCGAAAAAAUUGAAAAAAAUUUCGAAUUUCGAAUUAUUCGAACCGAGUUAAUCGAAUCAACUCGAAUUUUUUUCGAAUUUUGAGUUCGAGUCGAGUUGAAUUUUCGAAUUCGAAUAACUUAAAUAAUUCGAAUAAACCGAAUAUAAACUAUAUUUUUUAAAUUUUUUUAAAUUUUAGGUUUUUACUUAAACCCAAUUUCUCCCAAACCCAAACCCAAACAUUUUAUAUUUUCCAUUUCCCCAAGCCCGUCUACCCAAGCCCCAAAGAUUUAUUUUCCCAAAUCCCAAUUCCUCCCCCAAACCAAACCCUCAGCAACAUCCAAACCCUAAAUUAUUUUUCUUCUUCUCUCCAUUUCCAUUCAAUUCAAAUCUUAAAAUCUAUUUUUUUAGAAAACCCUAAAAUAAACCCUCCUUCCUUCUUCUUCUCCUUAAUUAUUUUUUAGUUAUUUACUCACUUAUUUAUUCACUUAUUUACUUCAAUUUUUUGUUGUAUUAAAAAAUAUUUUUUUGAAAAAUUACAUAAAAAUAAACAAAACUAAAGUCAUUUUUUUAAAAAAUUUAACUCGAACAAAUAUAUUCAAUUCGAUUCGAUUCGAAUUCCAUCUCACUUGACUCGAUUCAAGAAAACUUCAAAUUAAGUUAGGAUGAUAAAAUAAGAUUCAAAAAUUCGAUUAACUCGAAAAUUUUUGAUUCGAUUCGAUUCGAUUUGACCAAAUGCUCACCCCUAUGCUGGAGUACUCAUGGUCUGCUGGAGUUGGGCACCAGGAUGAAAGUAGGCUCGGGAAGCACGGUAUCGGUGCGGGAUGAUGUUUGGUUACCUGGAGAGGGCCCCUACAAGGUUCAAUCACCAAGAGUUAGCGAUAUCAAUGUGGUUGCUGAUUUAAUUAACAAAGAAGGGUGUUGGAAUGAAGAGCUGAUCCGAACCUUCUUUACUGCUGUUGAAGCUGGCAGGAUACUUUGUAUUCCUAUUUUGAAGUUCCCAUUUACAGUGCAUAUCAGACAACAUCAACAAUUGUCAAACAUGAAUGAGGGUUGGGUUCCGACUCUAGAACCAUUUGUGAAGGUAAAUUUUGAUCCUGGAUUUCAUGCAAACAUUAAAGCAGCUAGUUCAGGUGAUGAGUGCUUACAUUUGGGAAACAAAACAGAUAGCAAAAGGUUUUGAUGGAUUCAAAAGUUCAGCAUAUCAAAAGACAAGGCAACAAAGUGGCACAUUUGCUAGUGAAGGAAGGAUAUAGACGACGAUUUACUUGUUGGAUAGAAGAAGCUCCGUCUAAAGUUGAAGAGACAACACAGAUUGAGGCGAUUACAGUCUAUUAAUUUCGCCAUUGCUUUGGGCAUCAACAUACACUCUGCAUUUUGUUUAUAUUGAAAUAUAAAUAAAAUUAAAUCAAAUCAUCUUCUAUUAUCCAUACAAGUCAAGAACUUUAAUCAAUAAUAUAUAAUUUAAAGCAUCUUUUAAUAAAUCUAAAACAUACAUAUAUAUAAUCGGCGGCAGAGUAAGGAUGUUAACUUUGACAGGACCAAACUAAAAUUAGACGUAGCAGGUAAAUUUUUUUCCUAUUAACAUAUAUUAUAUAUGUUAAUUAUUCUACAAAAAAUUGGAUAAAAAUUAUGUUCUGCAUUAUAUUUUCAAAUAUAUACAAGUUAAAAAAAUAAUAAUAUGAAUGCAUAUUUAAAAAAAGUGGGCACUACUGUUUUCAUAUUUCAAUUUUUACUCAUAUUUAGUUUCUUCAAGAAGAUUUUUUUUUAUUAAAAAUAUUUUUUUAAUAUUAUUUUAAUAUUAUAAAAAUAUUAGAGGGAUCUACUUCUAUAUUUGGGAUGGCCAUAGUAUAUAUAUAAAGAGGAAAUUAAAAAAUCUUCGACCUUAGGGGUCAUGGCCCAUUAGGUUUCUUAGUAGCUCUGCCACUGUAUAUAACGAAUAUCUUUUAAAUUUCACAGUUGAAAUUUCGAUUAUAUCUUGAUUUCAUAUAAAAUAAUUUUCACCCAUGGAUUUAAUUUGGUUAAAUCAAAAAAGUGCAUUUAAGAUGUUGAUAAGUUUAUUGUGUUUUUAACUAAACCCUUACAAUUAGUUAGUCAAAAUUCUAGUCUUCCUUUUGGCACGAAUUCUCUGUCUGCCUUUUGGUACGAAGUCUUGUUGCGGUUCUGUCUUUUCUUUCUUUUGUCAGAUUCUGGUUUUCUUCUCUUUUACCUUUAAGUUCCUUGUUUCGGUUUGAGAUUUUUCUGUAUUUAUUUGUUAUGGAAGAAGAGUCAGCUGGUCUGAGUUUAUUAGAUGAUGAAGAGGAGGCGUUUCAAGAGGAAGCAGGGGUGGUGGAUAGGAACUACCAGUUCUGUUAGGUGGGGCGAUGUCUAACGGAUAGUGUUGUUCACUUCCCUUCUCUACGCAAUACAAUGGCAGAUCUCUGACACCCAAUUGGUGGGAUUUGUAUCACAAACUUAGGAUACAAACGAUAUUUUUUCCCAUUCUUUCAUGAUGUUGAUGUCCGAAGGGUAAUUUCUGGUACUUCGUGGUUCUUUAAUAACCACUUGCUUAUACUGUAAAGAGUUCAAAACGGAGAAAACCCAUUAGUGCUAACGUUGAACUUCACUGAGUUUUGGGUACAAGUGCAUGAAUUACCCCCAAGUCUGAUGACUGAAACAAUGGCUAAACAAUUUGGGGACUUUUUGGGAAAAUUUCUCGACUAUGACACUUCUAUUCCAAUCUUUGGUCUUAAAAAGUACAUGCGCAUUCGUGUCUGUUUGGAUGUAUCUGCUUCAUUAAAACGCAAGAAGAAGAUUCAGAUUGGGACGGAUAUGACGGUUUACGCUCGAUUUAAGUAUGAAAAAUUAAGUUUGUUUUGCUUUAUUUGCGGCAAGCUAGAGCAUGGUGAAAGUAACUGUCCUUUUCAUCUUAAAAUUGAGCCCUCAAAAAUUAUUUUUGGAUAGGAAUUACCAUUAAGGGCGGUGCCAAGCCGACAGAAUGUAGUGGCGAGCAGGUGGCUGCGUGAUGCUGAUGGGUCACAGAACAGUACUGAAAAUUUAGAAAGUGUCAAUAAAAGCAAUUUAAUAAAUACGAAAAAUCAUACUAGGCGAAAUUUAUGGGGAAAUUUUAGGAAUCAAAUAUCAAAUCCCAAUUCCAUUUAUUUAGGGUCAAAUCACCAGUAUACUAUUAAUUGGCAGAAUAAUUGGCGUAAUUGGAGUAAAGGAGAUUCAAACCUUAAUGGUUUGGUUAAUGGGCCCAUGGACCUAGUUUUGGAGGAAGAACACGAUCCAAUAGCUGUGGUAGAAGGAAAAAAGUGGCAGAGAAUAGUGGAGGAACCCAUAGCUCUUUUGGGUGUUAAUAUUAAAGAUGGAUCUUUUGAUUUAACGGCUAGCUCUGGUGCUCAGAGCAGCCAAGCACAAUGAAAAUCUUAAGGUGGAACGUUCGUGGUUUGAGGAGAUCACGAACCAUUAAAAGGCUCAAGAAUAAAUUAACAGGUGUUAAUCCCUAAAUUUUGUUUCUUAUGGAAACGAAACUAAGUUCUAAAAGAAUGGAAAUGGUGAGCUUGAAGUGUGGAUUUGAGAAUGGUAUUGAGGUUGGUGCAGUUGGUUCAAAAGGAGGAUUAUCUUUGGGGUGGAAAGGUAAUUCAUUGGCGUGUCUUAAGAGUUUCUCCUCGUUUCAUAUUGAUGUUGAAAUUCAUAAUAAUGAAUGUGGAGAAGUUUAGAGGCUAACGGGGUUUUAUGGGAAUCUAGACGGUAAAGGGAGAAGUGCUUCUUGGGAUUUGCUUAGGCAGUUGAGUCAUGAUCAAACUACCCCUUGGGUUAUGUUGGGAGAUUUUAACGAGAUUACUAAAUCUUUUGAGAAAAGAGGUGGCCGCCAUAGAUCAGAAAGAAAGAUGAAUGAGUUUCAGACGACUUUGGAAGAUUGCAGUGUCAAUGAUUUGGGUUUUAUUAGGAGGUGGUUCACAUGGGAAAGAGAAAGAUUUUUAGCCUCUAAUAUACGAGAAAGAUUGGACCGUGGGGUUGCUACAUUGAAUUGGAUGAAUCUACUUCUAAGCUAUCAGUUAGACCAUUUGGGUCACUCCUUUUCUGACCAUUGUCCCAUUAUUUUGGACACCAUGCGAAUGAAAUGGAAUGAUCAAUGUAGACAUGAUAGACCUUUUCGAUUUGAAGCCAAGUGGUGUUUGGAAAGUUCAUUCGAGGAGAUGAUUAAAGGGUGGUGGGCGGAUGAUUCAGGAGGUGUUCCCGAGAAGCUUGAGAAAUUAGGACGUCGAUUGCAACAAUGUAGUAUUUCUAGAAUUCGAAUGGAGAGGAAAAUUUGUGUGUACUUUGAAGAUAGAUUGAAUUACCUCUAUAGCCAAGAACCUUCUGAUGAGAUUUUAGCUGAAAUAACAGAUGUUCAGCUGAAUCUUAAUUGGGAGGCUGAUAAAGAAGAACUCUUUUGGGAACAACGUGCCCGUAUUAAUUGGCUGAAGAAUGGAGAUCGAAAUACCAGCUAUUUUCACAAUGUAGCAGAUCAACGUCAAUUUCGUGGUCGUAUUACUAAAUUAGAAGAUGAAAAUGGUAGAAAGCUUUCUUCGACUGAGGAAAUCCUAAGGCUUGCUUCGGACUAUUUUGUUAACCUUUUUUCGGCUUCUAGCAUGGGUUCGGAUGAGCACUUAUUUGGUUUAGUAGAGAAAAAAGUCACUGAAAGCAUGAAUGCUGCUUUGCUUAAAAAGUUUACUGAGGAUGAUAUUGCCUAUGCCGUUAAAAUAAUGGCGCCUUUGAAUGCACCUGGCGUUGAUGGAUUUUGUAACACCCCCACGCCUGAAACCGUCACCGGAGUCAAGCUUGAGGUGUUACUAAACUUAUCUUACCUUUUAAACAACUCUAAACCACUUAUUUUAAUUUUUAGAAUAAACUAUUUUUCUGCAUCAUGGUUGCUUAAAAAUUCAUUUCUCGAGUUUCAAAACUCAAAAUUAAGAUCCGUAAAUUUUUCCUGAAACUAGACUCAUAUAUCUAUCUACUAAUUUUUUUUUAGAAUUUUUGACUUGGCCAAUUAGUACAGUUUAUUAGUUAAAGUUUACCCUGUUUCAAAACUCAACUAUACUGACCACUUCUUACUACGAGCCAUGUUUCUUCCUGUAAAAAAAAUCAUAUGAUUAAGCCGUUUGUUUCUCUCAAAACUAGAUUCAACAAGGAUUAUAACCAUAUAAAUUACACAUUCUAAUUAGUUUUGUACAAUUUAUGGUGAAUUUCCAAAUUUGAAACAGGGGAUCCAGAAAUCGCUCUGACCCUGUUUCACUAAAACUCAGAUAUCUCAUAAAAUACAAUACCUUUACCUAUUUUGCUUAUUCCAUAAGAAAAUAUACAUAAUAAGCUUUAAUUUAAUAUAUUAUUCAUCUUCAAACUAUGUUUCUGCAAUUUUUAGUGAUUUUUGAAAGUUACGUCAUUUAUGUUACUUGAAUCUGUUUUUAGGUUACUUUCACAUUUUUCAUAAUUUUCAUGUGAUAAUCAUCAAUCAAUCAUACAUAUUAAUAAAUAUGUAUAUCAUCGGCUAUUUUAUUAGCUAAUCACUAGCAAGUAUUUACACAUCAUUCAUUGUUCAUAUUAUACCAAAAGUAGCUAAGUUUCUAUACAUGCCAUACCCAAAACAAAACGUCUGGUUAUACCGAGUUAUUUCUUUGAUAGUGUGAUCGGCCUCCGACGUUUCCUUCGAUCCCCGAGUGACUAGAUAAGUACUAUAAGAAGAAGAAAAUAAAGAGAUUAAGCACUAGGCUUAGUAAGCUUACAAGCAAAUAAAUCACAACAUUCAACAUAAUGGAUAAUUAUGCAUAAUAUCAUCUAACAUCAUAAAUUUCUUUACUUCUUAAUUUGUGUCUUCUUCUUUAUUCCCUUACCUUCUUUCUUACCUGACCUUUCCUUUUUAAUAAGUAUAAUCUACUUUUCCUUUGCUGUUAAUUCACUGUAAUUUAACUCGUAUCCUGACCCGUUGAACCACUCGGAAUACUAAGGAUACUAGGGUCGUUCCUGUCUAUCAAUAUCCUGCCAAUGCCAUGUCUUUGACAUGGACUUACAUGAAUUAUUCCUGUCUCCAAUGCCAUAUAUAAUAUGGACUUACAUGGCUCAAUCCUGUCUCCAAAGCCAUAUUUCUAAUAUGGACUUACAUGGCUCAUUUCUGUUCUGUCCUGUCAACUCUAAUAUCCUAACAUUCCUAGGGUUCAACCGGGGCUUUCUAACACUUUUCCUCUGUCACUCCACCUUAAAUUCGACUUUACAGAUUUUCAUAACAUAAGUAUAUAAAUGCUGGAAAUUGACAAUAAUAAUGUAAAAUAAAAGAAUAUUGCAUUUAUUUACUGUAACUUACCUUGAUACAAAAUGUGACUAAACUUUACAAUUUAGUCCUUUACUUUUUCUUUUCCCCGAUCUACUCCCGAAUUUCGUUCUUCUUGAUCUAUAAUAGUAAAUUUAACUUAUUUAAUAUUCACAUUUAUUAAAACAGUCCUUGACCCAAACUUUUGCAAAAUUAUAUUUUACCCCUAAACUUUCACAUAUUUGCACUUUUGCCCCAAGGCUCGUAAAUUAAACUUCAUCCUAUUUUUUUAUGUUUUAUGACAUGCUGAUCAUUUUUCCCUUCUAUGGCAAUAUCAAAAUCACACUCUAACCUAUACUUAUGACUAUUGGUAUUUUUUUCCAAUUUAAGCCCUUUUACUCGUUUUCACUUAAAAUCGAGUAGCAUAAGUUGUUUAACAUAAUUUAAAACCUCAUAUUCUAUCAUAAGACACCAAAAUACACAAAUUUCAGCCAUUGGUAUUUUUCCAAAUAUGAACCCUAGGCUGAAUUAUUGCUAGAAUAAGCUUAAUCAAGUUACCGGGACUCCAAAAACGUAAAGAUCAUUAAAAACGGGGCUUGGAAUCACUUACUAUGAAGCUUGAAAGUUGAAGAAACCCCAGCUAUGGAGGAGAGCAAAAAUCGGCAGAAACUAAUUGAGAAGAUGACCAUUUUUGUGUUAUUUUUCCUUAUUUAAUUCAUUUAAUAUCCAAAUAACCAAAUUACCCCUCCUUACUAAACUUUCAAAAAUUCCUUCCAUGUCCUAAUUUUUGUCCAUGAACUUAAAAUUGGUCAAAUUGUUAUUUAAACCCUCCUAAUUAAUAUUCCAAAGUAAUUUCAUACUAAAAACUUCUAGAAUGCAAGUUUUGCAAAUUAUUCAAUUUAGUCCCUAACCUCAACUUAAGCACUUUAUGCAUGGAAUUUCAUCACGAAAUUUUCACACAAUCAUGUAACCAUACCAUGAACCUUAAAAUAAUAAUAAAAUAAAUUUUUCUACCUCGGAUUUUUGGUUUCGCAACCACUAUUCCGUUUAGGCCCUAUUUUGGGAUGUUACAGAUUUCCCGCUCUAUUUUUUCAAAGGUAUUGGCAUAUUAUAGGGCCUGAAAUCUCCCUUUAUUGUUUAUCUAUUCUAAAUGGUGAAUUUGAAAUAGGAGAUAUCAAUAAAACUCACAUUGUUUUGAUUCCUAAAGUUGAAAAACUGAAGAAUAUGUCACAAUUCAGGCCCAUAAGCCUUUGUAACGUAGUUUAAAAAAUUAUCGUGAAGGUCUUGGUGAUUUGUAUGAGUGCUAUUUUGGGAUACUGCAUACAUGAAGCUCAAGGAGCUUUUAUCGCAGGAAGACUGUAAUAGCCUAAAAUUGGGUCUAGUUGGAACAGAGGUUUCGGGACCACAGAAUUCGCGAUAGAAAUAAUUAUUUUAUGAUUAUUUUGAGGUCUAUGAUAUGAUUGCAUGAUUGUGUGAAAAUUUCGUGAAGAAAUUCUAUGCAUAAAGUGCUCAAUUUGAAGUUAGGGACUAAAUUGAAUAAGUAGCAAAACUUACAUUCUAGAAGUUUCUAGUAUGAAAUUGCUUUGAAAUAUUAAUUAGGAGGUCUUAAAUAUAAAUUUGACCAAUUUCUAAGUGAUGGACAAAAAUUGGACAUGGAUGAAAUUUUUGAAAGUUUAGUAAGGAAGGGCAUUUUGGUCAUUUGGUAAUUAAAAGAAAUAAAAAGGGAAAACAAAGCCAAAAUUGACUCAUCUUUUUCAUGGAGGCCGAAAUUAGCAUGGGGGAAGCCAUGGCUAGGGUUUUCAAGCUUUCCAAGCUCAAUAGUAAGUCCGUUCUUACCCCGUUUUUCAAGUUCUUUAUGUUUUUGGAAUCCCGGUAAUUUGAUUAAGGUUAUUCUAGCAAUAAUUUAAGCUAGGGUUCAUAUUUGGAAAAAUACCCAUAGGUGAAAUGUGUUUAUUUUUCUGUUUUAUGAUAAAAUAUGAGGUUUUAAAUUAUGUUAGACAACUUGUGCUACUCGGUUUUGAGUGAAAACGAGUAAAAUGGCUUAAUCGAUAAAAAUACCUAAUAGUCAUAAGUAUAUGUUAGAGUGAGAAUUUGAUGUUUCCUUAGAAGGGAAAAGUGAUCAGCAUGUCAUAAAACAUAAGAAUAAGGGAUGGAUUUUAAUUCCCGAGCCUAGGGGCAAAAGUGUAAAUAUGCAAAAGUUUAGGGGCAAAAUUGUAAUUUUUCUAAAAUUUGAGUUAAGGACUGUUUUGAAUAGUACAUUAAUUUAAUAAGUAAAAUAUGUUGUUUAGAUCCCAGAAAAUGAGAUUUGAACCUAGAAUGAGAGAAAAAUCGAAAAUUGGGAAAGUUGGUAAAAUGGCCGUUUUAGUAUCGAGGUAAGUACAUAUGUAUAAUAGCAUUAAUUUAUGCAUGUUUCAAUGUAAAAUUGAUAUAUUUAUUAUGAUUUCCGAGGUGUUGAGAGUAUGUAAGUUGGUAUGAUAAUAAUACAACAAUAAUACUGUAAUUUAUAUUUGAAAGUUAAAUUUAGUGAAUUAAUUGAAUUAUGUUAAAUUAAAUGAAUAUGGUGCCAAGUUUAUGAAUUGAUUUAAAAAUAUGUCUAUGGUACAUGAAGUGCACUGAAUUAUCAUACAUAAAUGUGAUUUCUAUGAUUAUGGAUAUUAUGGGAAAUUGUAAGUUCAUAUGAUUUUUAAUAAGGCAAUGUGUAAUUUAAUGUUAUUGCCUUGAUAUUAAAUGAGAUGUAAGUUUAUAUGUAAGUAAUACAUCAAUAUUACUUGUAUUAUGAUAUUUUAUAAUAAUAUUGGAAAUAUGUUUGUGGAUAAUUACUUGAUUGGUGAAACUGUUAGAAAAGAGAGAGAAAUUUCGGUUGAAACUUCGGAAAGAUUGGAUGAUACAGAUAGUAUGUAGCUAGGUCACAUGUAUGGUGCUAAGUGCACAUCAUAUGUACAAGAGAGUUACAAGACAUUAUGAUGUAGCUAGGUCGCAUGGGUGAUACUAUGUGUACACCAUGUAGACAAGAGAGCUACGGAAUACAUGUAGCUAGGUCACAUGCGUGGUUUCAGGUGAAUGACACCAUGUAGACAAGAGAGCUACGAGAUAAAUUGGCUAGGUGACAUGGGUGGUACUGAGUGUUCACCAUGUGUAUAAGAGAGCCGAACUAUCUGAUGGGUGGAGCUAUGUGCUGAAAUGAUCAAGUAUCGAGGAUUGAUCCGAAGUGUUCAACGGGAGACUCUCUAUGUAUUGCUUUGUGAGUUUUGUGAUGAAUAAGUGUAGGAACUUGGUUAUGUGAAUGAUGUGUUCAUUAAGUGACCAGGAUGUGGUUAGGUUAUAAACAAGUAAGUUAUACAUGAGGAUGAUUUUAUGGUGACCUUGUGAUCAUGGGCCUAUACUUGUGAUGUAUGAAAUGUGGUGAAAAUGAUUUGUGAUAUAUAUGUUAAAAUGAGGUUAAUACAAAGAAAGUGUGAAAGGGUGAAUUAGCAAUAAAAUUAUUUUGGACAGUAGCAGUGACGUGAUUUUGAAAAAUCACCAAAAAUAGUAGAAAUUGAAUCAGACACUUAAUGAGAUAUAAAAUUAAAGAUUAAUGAGUUUAUUUUCAUAUAAAAGAAACAGAGCAAGAAAAGGAGUUCUAUAUUUUGAGAUAUUUAUGUUUUUGUGAGACUGGUUCAGAAUGAUUACCUGAUCCCCUGUUCUGACUUUGGGAAAUCACAAAAAUUUGGAUAAAAAUAAUUAGAGGCUUAAACUUAUAUUUUUAAAAUCCCUAAUGAGUAUAUUUUCAAGAUAAAUCAACAAGAACAUUAUCCGAGUUCUGUAUUGUGAGAUAAUUAAUUUUUAGUGAAAAGAGGUUAGAACUGUCAGAAAGUGAAACAGGGGAAAUUUUAAUGAAUAAACUGUACUAAUUUGCUAAACCAAAAAUUAUGAAAAUUUUAUGGUGGAAAGAUACGUGAGUCUAGUUUUAGGGAAAAUUUACAAAUCUUAUUUUGGAGCUCUGUAGCUCGAAUUAUAAAUAAGUAAGUGACAAUGACUCGUGUGGACAGUUUGAUGUGAGCAUUUAUUAGUAAAUUGUGAAAUCGUACUUACAAGAAUGCUAUAUACAUUAAGGAUGUGGAAUGGAGAGGAGGAAGAAGAAAAUAAAUAUAUGUGGAAUACAUGGAAACUAUGGUAUAUGAAAUAUUGAUAUAAUGAAAUAAAUGAUAUGUGUUUAUAAGAAAACAGAAAGAGAAUGAUAUGUAUCAUGACAUUUAUAUAUAUAUGACUAGUCUCAAUGUAAUGCUUGUUGGGUAUGGAGUUGAAUUGAAAUGUUUCAGGCAAACAUGUUAUUUUGCGCAUUUGAAUUGUGGUAUUUUAUAAAGAUAUGAUCUAGUUUUAAAUAUGAAUGCUUGAUGAUUAAGCUGAAGAUAUUUGGUAAGAUAAUAAUCUUGGUAUAAAUGUAUAAGUGGUACUAUAAUAAACAAGGUAAAAUGAGUAUGAGAGACACAUGUAUGAUGACAUACAAAUGCUAUGUUUGUGGUUUAAUUGAAAAUAUUUAAUCAUUAAAUGAAUAUCAUGUUAUAUGCUUUUGAUUUUGUAUAAGUGUGUAAGAGAUUAAGGUUGACUAAAGCUUGGAAAAUAGCCUAGGUAUAUUCCACACAGGCAGAGACACGGCCAUGUGUCUCAGCCGUGUAUGGAACACGACUUUGGGACACGGGCGUGUGGAGCCUUAAAGCAUGAAAUUUCUAAGAUUUUCGUAAGUUCUCGGUUUAGUCCCGAACCCUUUCUAAAGUAUGUUUUGGGCUUCGUAGACUCAAAUAAGGGACUAUGUGUAAGUGAAUGAACGUUUUGAAAUAUGAAUGAAAUUUUACGGCCCGUAUUUUAGUUUAAUGUUUGUAUGUUUGUCCGGUAACGCCUCGUACCUUAUCUCAGCCUCGGGUACGGGUAAGGGGUGUUACAAAGACUUAUUUCGGAUAAUAUCUUAAUUGCUUAUGAGGUCCUUCAUUCUUUCAAAAAGAAGAAACGUGGCCAGAAGGGGAAUUUUGCGCUAAAAUUCGACAUGAGUAAAGCGUAUGAUCGAGUUGAAUGGGAUUUUUUGGCGAGGAUGAUGAAGUAUUUGGGAUUUCAUGAUGAUUGGAUUGUUCCCACUAUGAGAUGCGUUUGUUCAGUGACUAAUUUUGUGAGCCUCAAUGGGUAUAAUAGUGAAUGGUUUUCACCUUCAAGAGGCUUAAGACAGGGAGACCCUCUUAUUCCCUUUCUUUUCUUAAUUUGUGCUAAGGGUUUUUCUACACUUAUUUCAGAAGCCAAGCAAAAAGGUUUGAUGAGGGGUGCCCCUAUUGGAAGGGCAAGGUUCUCUAUUAAUCACUUUUUUUUUGCUGACGAUUGCAUUCUUUUUUGUGAUGCCUCGUGUGAGGGAGCUCGAGCGGUUUGUGAGGUUAUUCAAGAAUAUGAGCUGAUUUCCGGACAGAGGGUGAACUUUGACAAAUCCCUUAUUUAUUUUGGGGCCAACGUGGAUUCUAACGUCAAAGAGAACAUAUUCAAUUUGCUAGGAGUUCGGGUGGCUUCUAACCCUGAGAAAUAUUUAGGUCUUCUUAUGAUGGUUGGUCGGAGGAAAACUUGGACAUUUGCUAAUUUUUUUGAUCGAUUCAGAAAACGGGUUGAUGGGUGGAGCUUGCGUUACCUAUUAAUUGGUAGGAAAGAGGUCUUUAUUAAGUCGGUUUUGUAGGCUAUACCACUUUAUGUUAUGCAAUGUUUCCUUAUACCGAUAUCAUUGUGUCGAAAGCUAGAAAGAAUAAUGAAUAAGUUUUUGUGGACCAACAACAAGACCUUGAAGGGUAUACAUUAGAGCGGAUGGGAGCCGUUAUGUAAACCAAAAGAUGCUGGUGGGAUGGGUUUUAAAAAUUUGUUUUUGUUUAAUAAGGCCUUAUUAGCAAAAUUGGUUUGGCGUAUUUUAACUUAGCCAAAUUAUCUUUUAGCCAAAGUUUUAAAAGCCAUGUAUCAUCCUUAUUCAGAUAUACUUUCAGCAAAAAUUGGAUCUUACCCUUCGUUUACCUGGCGAAGUAUUUGCAGUGUUCGGGAUUUGAUAGUGAAUGAGAUUUUGUGGCGUGUUGGUAAUGUUACUCGUAUCAACAUUUGGAAUGAUCCUUAGUUGCUUGGAAGAGAGAAUCAUAGAGUAUCAGUCCAAAGGAUUAUGCCUAACUGAACUAAGAUGAAUCAACUGAUCAAUUAUGAGACUAAUACCUGGAAUAAGGAGCUUGUUCAUAAUAUUUUUUAUACUGAUACAACAACUCGUAUUUUCUCCAUUCUUAUUUCAAGGGAUAGAUCGAAGGACAUGAUGGUUUGGAAAUAUGAAGGCUCGAGGGAAUAUACAAUUAAAAGUGGGUAUCGGGUCUUAUCUUCAGAACACAUACAGAAUACUUUAGACACUUCCCCUAACGGUGAGGAAUACAAUGAAUUUUACAAAUCAUUAUGGGCUUUACACAUUCCUGCAAAAGGAAAAAUACACAUAUGGAGGAUGUUUAAUAAUUUUUUGCCCCAUUUCUGCAACCUAGCGCGUAGAACUUUGAGUGUUGAAACUGUCAGCCCUUUGUGCAAGAAAGAUCCAGAGGAUGCUGAUCACCUGAUGUGGUCUUGUGAUUUCUUACAGUGUGUAUGGGCAUCGUUAAGCUUUGAUAAGUUGUAAGAUUCGUUUUGCUAACAUCUUUUCUGUAGCAGAAGAAAAACAAAGACAAAUUAUGGCUCUUUCCUUAUGGGGUCUAUGGCAUCGAAGGAAUAAAUUGAUACAUGAAAGUGUAAAGUUUUCUUUGCAGGAGCUAUUGGGGUUUAUUAGAGGGUAUAAUCAAGAACUUAUUCUUAAUCAAUAGAACUUCUGUCCAUCCUUUAGAUCUAUAGCAAAUGAAAUUUGGAAACCCCCAGACACUGGAGUUAUUAAGUUAAAAUUUGAUGCGACUUUUCAAAGUGUUGAUAGAAUCGCUAUAACAUCAGUUUUAGCUAGAAAUUCGGAAGGAGAAAUUGUGGGGGCGGGGACUUAUCUUUUUAAGGAUGUGGUUGAUGCUUUUGUGGCGGAGGCACGGGCAUGCGAAAGGGCUCUACUUUUAGCGGGUGCUAUGGGCUUCCGACGACUGAUCGUGGAAGGUGAUUCACUGACAUUUAUCAAGAGUAUUAAGAAAAGACAGGAAGAUAGUCCUUAGACCGAUCACACAUCAUAUUAAUAUUUUAGAAACUGGUUUUGAUGAUGUUUCCUACCUCUUUGGGCCUCGAAUGGUGAAUGGAGCGGCGCACACGUUAGCUUGGAAGGUCUGAGAAGACAGGCUUUUGGGGGCUGGGAUGAUGGAGUGCCAGAUUCUAUGCAGACGAUGGCUAUGAAGGGUCGAUUGGCCUGGAACUAAAGUCAUCAAUGUGCCCUUUGAUUUGCUUUGAAUGUGGAGAAGGUUCGCUGAAUCUCAAGUUUGGAUUUCAAAGCACUUGUUCCUUCUUCUUUUACUUAUUUUGAUUUAUCUGAAGGUGAGGGAACUGUUUGGCUGAUAUUUGGCUUAUGGAAUGUGCUGCUGUUUUGGCUUGGGCGGAUUUCUUCUUUCUUUUGGCCUUGGUAGUUUCUAGGUGUUUUUUUGGUUGACAGCUGUUUCCUUUAUUUAUUGCUUUGUCGUUUCAUGUUGAUGUAUGUGGCUUAGUUGUCUGUUUGGUCUUUUCAUGUUGCUGUUUGCUGAAUUUUCUUAGUGUUUUUUCACCUUGAGCCAUGUAAUAAUAAAUAUCAGUCAGAUUAUUUCAAAAAGAUGUUGAUAAGUUUUUUUGAAUCUAAUAAAAUUUUAACUUCGUUUAAUAUCAUUUAAAUCGGAUUAGAUCAAUUAGUUAAACCGAUUGGAAUGAAAAUUGACUAGAGCAUUGGUCUAGACAGGAGUUAGAUAAUUAACUCAGGAGCCAUUCUAAACUAAUUCAAAUUGACUAAAAUCGGUUGAACUGAUUGAAUCUGUUUUUUUUAAUAAUUUAUUUAAUUAAAUUGUGCAAACCAAUUGGGUUGAUCGAACAAAGAGAACUAAAAAUCAAUAGUUUAACCAAUUUGACUACCAUUUUAAUUUUGAAGAUCUUGAUUUUGUUUGUAAUUUUUUAUCUUACUAAUCUUAAACAAAAUAAUAGCGUAUCAAAUAAUGGACCCUUAUCUAAAACCAUUUCAAUCUAUGCAAUUUAAUUAAAUAAAUUAUUAAAAAUAAAAAAAUAUUUUUUUUAUUUUGAAUCGAUAUCUCAAUUAAUUCUUUAUUGAAUUGGGGGUUUUAUCUUUUUUUUUUGUGAAAAAUAAGCAAAAUUACAUGAACUCAAUUAUUCAAAAGUCCCACAAGUUGUAUCUUGUUGAAUAGUCCCUAAUACAUCAUUCAGAAGCACAUCGAAAAUCUGUAGGCUUGACUUCCAUGCUAGACAGAGUUUGGCCAAACAGUCCGCAACUAAGUUAUCCCUUCUGGGCACAUACCAAAUCCGCUACUGCCCUUCGGAUCACAUAGUCUUUUGGCCCUUCGAAGCACUAGGAUGCCUAAGUCUUCCAUCUCCUUAUCGGUCAAGAUCUUAAUCACCUCUAAAUUAUUUAUCUGAAUUAUAGCCAUUUAUACCCGUUAUUUAGUACGAUGAAGAUUCCAUUAAAAAUACCCAAGAGUUCUGCCUCAAAAGAAGUAUACCUACCUAGAUAACGAUUAUAUCUUAAAAUCCAAUUACAGUCAUUGUUAAAUAAGGUUUCUCGUUCCAAUAUUUGACUCCAUAAUGGAUUAUAUAUAUUUUAAUUAAGGUUGAGAUUAUUAUUUUAAAAUUCCAUACCUUAUUCAACAAUUAAAAAGGCGGGGGUUGAGACGUGGCAUUCGUAAACUAAAAAAAAUUCAAAGUUAAGGAAACACAAAAUAUACUUAAAAGAAAUAAUUAAGGAGAAUUUCAAGGCAUUUUCGUUAACAACAAAUUUGAAAUUGACAAACGGGAUCUAAGCAUUUAAUGGCGUCUUGCUGAGAAAAAUGAAAAGAGGAAAUGGGUUUAUCUACUACAACCCAUCCAUGGCGUUUAAUGGGAUUGCGUACUUUAUGCGCCUACCCGUGAUGGUCUUUAAACUAUAAAAUCUGCCUUAGACUUUGUAAAAAUAUUAAAGCCUUCCCUCACCCAAAGGGCAGCUCUUCAACAAAACAGUACAAAUCGCAUUUAAUGCCGCCAUUAAUGCCUUCUCUUCAAUUUUUUCUUCAUUCUUUGGUUUCUAUCUACAACACCAAUUAAUUCAUGAUUGUUGAAAAGUCUGUGUCAUCCCUCAUCAAUGUUAUUUUUUAAAAUUUUAAUUACAUUUAAAUGUUUGAUUGUGACCUUUUUAUGUAUAUAUUAAAAAUCUCUCAUAAAAUCACAUUCAUAGUAUAAGUCCGAACCCUUUUUAAUGAUAAUCAGUUGAACCAUAAUUUCCUUGAAGUAGACUGUUAUUUACGCUAUUUAAAACUUCAUUUGCUUUCGUUUUUCCUUAGCUUCUGUUUUUAAUUUUUUUUAAUUUUUGGGUUCAUCUUUCUCUCUUUUGUUCUUGGGUUGAAGAAAAAUGACAGCACAAGUGAGCAGUUCAUUGGUAAGGGUAUUGAGUGGUCACAUGGAGGAGCAGCAUGCUGGGAAUUCUGAUAUCUUGAUUACAAAAGAUUUGCUGGGAAAUUUGUCAAAUGCUAAACCAACAACACCCAAAGCUAUAGAUCUUGAAUUUAAGGUGAAAAAUUUUAGAUUUAUCUUCUUUUUCUUUCUUUUUUCUUUUUUAGCUUUGUUUCUGAAACAAAUCCCAAGAAUUCAUUUAUGUCUAUUUAACUCUCUGUACUGUAGUUUUCAGUUCACAAUUAGUUUGCUUAACCAUUUAUAUUGAAUUUAAAAGAAACAGAGUAUUUAUUACAGCUUUUUAAUGUUCUUCACUUUAUCCUUAUUAUUUAUGAAACCAUCUGACAUCUUUUCUGGGUUUUUGCUUAUAUAUUGAAAUAUUUUUACCUUGUAUAUAGUUCAUGAUCUAAGCAUCUUUUUGUGAUUUGGGUUUAUAACCAUGCAGGGUGGGAGAGUAGAGGCACAAAAGUGCAGCUCAUCAUCAUCACCAUCAGCAUCGGCAUCAUCACCAAAGUCACCAUUAUCAGCAAAAGGAUCGGCUUCUCCAGAUGGGAAAUCAUUCAAGACUCCAUUGUCGAAUUUCCUACAAGAUUCCAAGCUCCAAGACUUGAACUUCCCACCAAUCAACCUGUUUGAUGAAAUGACAACAACUUCCCUCGAUUUAAAGCUCCAAUCUUGUUCAACUCCAAGCCCUUACCAAAGUGUUUGUACCCUCGACAAGGUUAAACACGCCCUGGAAAGAGCAGAAAAAGGAGGAAACAUGAAGAAACGUUCAUCGUCACCACCACCGCCACCGUCAUCGCCGCCUGCAACGUCGUCUUCAUCAACACCAAGAAUGUUUGCAGCUGCAUGCCCUGGUUGCUUAUUAUAUGUCAUAGCUUCGAAUACAAAUCCCAGGUGCCCUCGCUGCAAUUCUUUUGUUCCAUCUUCCCUGCCUAUGAAGAAGCCUAGGAUUGACCUCAAUGCAUCAUUUUAAUCCUUUUUUCUCUUUCUCCUGUGAACAUUGAUUGGAGAUUUAAAAAAAAAAAAAUGUUGUACAACUCUUCAGCCCUGCAAAUAUUCUUGAUUCAUGUAAAUUGAAAAAGAAAAAAAAAACAAUAGGUUCAGAAUUCAGAUAUGGGGUUUACUUUAAUUUAGUGUAGGGGGGAAUCCAAUGAUGAUAUUAAUAGAUGUUUUGUCAGUUAAAUUUCAUUUGUCGUUUGGAAGACAGAGAAAAUUUCAAUCUGAUGUUCGUAUUAUAUAUGUAUAUAUUUAUUUAUUUUUACAAAUAUUUCAUAUUAUUGUUUCUUCAUGUUUGAUGAUGAUGAAGAACACAAAAUUUAUUCCAAAAAGAACAAAAAAAUGAAGAACACAAAAUCAUGUUUAUUUAGACUUGUCAAUUUUAGUUGGAUGGAGGAUAAUGGUUAGGUGAGGAUCUAGUAUUUCCUAAUAAUAAUUAAUUAAUGCAAUAAUUAAAUAAUGAAUUUUCCUAUAACAUUAAAUUAGAAUCCAUUUUUGGAUUUUGACAUAAUACCCAUACCUUACUGAGUAUCACUUUCAAUGUAUUUUACUUAGCAAAUGAAUGAAAGUCGAGUAAUUGAAGGCAUCUCUUCAUACAUGGCAACCGACCAAAUAUAUUAUGAAUGUUAAUUUAUUAUAUAUUAUAUUAUAAAAAUUAGAAGUUACUAUCUACAAUUGCAAUGUGUAAAAUUUAUGUUUCACCAUGUACCUAUCCACUACAAUUGCAAUGUGUAAAGUUUAUGUUUCACUAUGUGUACAGUUCUUUUCAAAUUAGUCCGGUUUUGUUGGAUUAUUCAAUGUGUUUUGUACUUGUUGGAUUUUACAAAUCAGACACAAGGAUAAAGUUAGAUUUUCCUUUUAAAAUAAAGAUUUAAAUAUUUUCUAGAAAAAUUUAAUUUUUUUGGUAAAAAAGAUUAAAGGUUUAGAUUUAAAUGUAGAUCCAAAAAUAAACUUUUUAAAUAGAGGGGAAAAAUUAGUUAUUAAAUACGUAGGGUAAUAUAAAGAAACUAUUAAUGGAAAAUGUUAACAAGUUUUUAGUAGUAAUAGUUAAGAAAAUAUCUAUGGACAUUAUUAAAUAACAAUAUUAUUAAUUAUAUAUUUAUUUUUUUUAUAUGAAGUAUAUAAAAAAAAAGGUUUUAAAUGAUAUUAUACAAAGAUGGAAUAAUAGCAUAAAUAGUCCUUAUAUUUUAUCAAAAUUUUAGUGCGAGACUUCUACUUUGUAAAUGUUGAUGUUGGUACUUGAUGAAAGUUAAUGAUAUGACAAGCUGAAUCAUUUUCCACAUUGCUAUACCUUUAGAAGUUUUAAAGGGCAAAAACAAUAAAUAUUCUAAUUUUAUAACCAAAAUAUUAAAUAUUUUUACCUCCUAAAUCAAAUAUUUGAUGUAUCAUAAAAAUAGUAUAAAAUUUAAAAAAAUUGGAGAUGCUAAUAAAUAUAAAUAUUUGAGAGAAAAAUAAAUAUUUUUUUUUGAAAAAAAAUAUAUUUAUUAAACAUCACCCACCAUAGGUGAAAAUUAUAAGGAGUGUGUAUUUAAAAGUCUCAACAUCAAAAAAAAUUAAUGGUUUGUUUUUGAAAGUUGAAACCCACGUCAGCAUCAUACUACAUAUGACUGUGGCGGGAUAGUUGUUGAGGAACGCACCAUGUCAUGUGUAUCCACUUUACAUUAUUUGCCACGUGUCAAGCCUUCUGCUGACCCUCGCAUUUAAUGCGAAUGUCAUUUGGGCACGAAAUUAUAAAAGAGUUUGGUUUUAUUUUGCUACUUACGACGAAACUCAUUAAUGGAAGACUUUGAUUGAUGGGCAAAAAAAAAAGAAAAAAAGAAAGAAAUUCAAAAUUAAAUGAAAAUAAAUAAAUAAUUAAUUGAGAAAGCAAUGAUGGUAAGCAACUCAUUUAUUUAUUUUAUAGUUUUUAAAUUUAAAUUUGUUUUGUGCUGGUGAAGUAUUUAUUGCGUGGGUUGAGUUUGAGUCAAGAAAAUUGAUGGGAUUGAAAAGCUUGUCUUCACAACACUUUGAAAACAUUAAAGGCUGCCUCUUUCUCUUUUGAAUUUCUUUUCUCUUUCUAUUUUGCAAAUUGCAUUUCAUUUAAUUUACGAUUCAUUGCAUUUUUGAAGUCCACCAAACCAUUGUAUUUGAUGCACAGGAUUAACAGUUGUAGCAUAAAUAGAGUUGAGUGGUUAAAAUUUUCAUCAGGAACCAAAAAUAAAGAGAAACAGGAAACCCCCUUUCAAUCCCGUACCCUACAAUUUUAUUAUAUAAGUCAAAUAAUUAGGUUAAAUUUCGAGUUAAAUCUCGAAUUGAGUUAUAAAUAUUAUUAUAUAACACUCGUAAACAUAUUUUUCAAUUAAAGUUUGAUUAUAAAAAAAAAUAGUUGAAAUUAGAAAAUAAUGUUAUGGGCAGGGAUACCAAGUUUAACUAAAAAUCCAUUAUGUUAUGGUUUGAUAGUGACUAGAGGCCUACAAAAUCAGAAGAUAAAUUUAAUGCUUAAAUUUGAUAAAAGGUUAAUGAUACAUAUAGGAAAAUAUUUAGGCAAGGUAUAGCCAACAUAGGAACUCAAACAUGAGGAUGAGCGUUUCAUUCCUUUUAUGUUGUUAGUUGUUUUUUUAGGUUAUUUGCAUCAGUUCAUAAUUGAUUAAUAUGUUGGAUUUGAAUUAUGGGAUACUACAUUCACUGUUGAAGUGAUUACUACCAAUUGCAAUUCAAUUCAAACCAUCUAUACAUGUUAUUAAGUUCAUUACACUAUCACUAUCUGUUUUACAGUUGUAUUUAAGUCUUAUAUAACCUUACGAACGCUCUUAGACAAUUAAAGUUUUCAAAACUUAAUGAGUUGGCGUCGCAGCUUUAGAUGCACAGUGUCGUGACUUUGAAAGCAAUAGGUUGAUGUCGCGACUUCAAACAGGACACGUCGCAAAGUUGGAAGGCUUAUGUCACAACAUCAAUAACAUUGUGUAGUGACUUUGAGGGCAAGCUCCCUCAAAAUCUACUCACUUAAUUUAACCUACCCAGUUUGUAAAUUGCAAUUGAAUUUUGAGGCCUCAAAAUCCUACGAGACUCAUCAUAUAUCAAAGACAUAUAUCGACUUAUGAAGCCUUCACAUUUUAUAAACUAUUUUGUUGUAACACUUCCAGGACCUAACCGGCCAACUGGUGACUCGAAGAUGAUACCAAAAAUGCAAUUCUUGAUGUACAAUUAUGCGCGAAAUAAAUUUUUUCCCUAGGACAAUCAUCUAAACAAAUAUUAAAGUGCAACAAUACAACUAUCAUCAACUUAUUUAACUAGUUAGUACAUGGCAAUUUUUACAAAAACUAUUCAAUACCAACCGUUAGCAUAGAAUUAAACAAGUAGUUACUGAUAAUAAAGUAUACAAGAAGACAUAAUGUAACUCUUGGCCAAACAUUAACUAACAAGUAUAUAUAUAUACAAGGUUUGUCUAAGUACAACAAAAGAAUACGAAGUCAAAAGAAGGUCGUGAGCCACUAGAGACAAUGCUCAAAAGAGAUGAGGCUAGGAUUGGGAUAGAGGGUAGAGGGAGAAUGGUUUCUUAAAAGGGAGCGAGAGGUAGAGAAAGAUCCCGUUUCUGCUAUAGUUGUGAGCAUUUAUAUCUUUAGCUAUGGCUUUGAUAUUACAUGUGUCAUGUGCCUAUUAGUAGGUAAAAAAUAAGUGGCCAAGUGAUUUACUAUUAUAGGCUAGGUAGGAUAGUGAUUGGACAUGCUAUCAAUCAUUUUAGAUAGGAAAUGGUAGAUAAAUUUAGGCAUGGUGAUUAACAAGUGGGGCAUUCAUGGGUGCUAACUCGAGGAAUGCUUCUUAGAGGGUGUGCCUGUGGCGUCCAUCUAAGGGGUAUAUCUAAGGGGUUAAUCGAGUUCACUGCUCGAUCCCAAGGAUAAGGGUAAAUAAUUGCCCCCAAUCAAGAGGGAGUUUUACUUUGGCCUUCCUCAAGACGCUACUGAUUUAGUGCUAACAAAGGAUAAGUUUUUGUGAAUAAUAACAAAUGUCCAAAGUUUGAAUUGUUGGACUGUUGUUGGUUGGCUGCACGUUUGGUCCACAUCAUUACAAAAGAUGCGUGUUUACCCAAGUUUUAAUGAUGGUGCAUUAAAGUGCAUCUUCGAGAAAUCAUAGUAAUUAUUACUUUUGUUUUAAAUGUUUGGUAUUUUCAAUUUUUCAGUUUUUACUAGUGUACGGGCCCAAAUUUGCCCGGCCCUUUAAAAAACCUAAUAAUGAUAAUAAAACCCAAAAUUCAAUGUCCAAAUUACAAACAAUUAGCAGACCUAAAUUACCCAACCUAAACCCAACUAAGCCCAAACCCGGAUGGCCCGAUAGGCCCAAGCUUAAACUGAAUCCGGCCAAACCAGCUCUCUCUCGAGCGCCACACCUCAUGUGCCUCUGUCAGCGUACCCACCACCCAAGGACUGUCGCCUUGCACCAAAAUGGAAGCUUUUGCCUGUUGACCUUCCUUAGCCCUGCAAAACAAUCUAGAAACUAGCAAGAACACAGCAUAAGGCAACACGCAAAGGCAGACAAAAAAGAGGAACAGAAAUUGGAACAAUAGGUAUUCAGCUAUAUAGCUAAGAGCAAAAGAUGUAACCUUUUUUUACACGGAGAUUGAAAUAAAAAAGCAGUAAAAAAAAAUCAAAAGGUGAUUUUGAAUCUCAUUUUCCUUUUGAUUUUGCUCCUAUUUCGUUGAUAUUUGUUAUUGCAUGCAAAAUAAAAUGAAUAAAAAGGGUAAACACUUAUCUGUUUUAAGAGGGCUUCGAAUCGUCAUUUGCUUGGUAGAAAUCGAAGCUUAGAUGAGGCUUAUGAGGUUUAAGCUAGCAAAAUUCUUGGGUUUGUGGUCGAACGAGGUCAGAACGGGCCAUCGCAUGUCACCGUCCGUCGUGUAGGGAGGCGAACGGGGCGAUUGAGUGUGGAGCUUUGAUGUUCGGCCGAUUGAAAGGGGAAUGAGGCUCAGGGUUUUUGUUUUUCUUUUGGUGGCUGAGUGUUUAGUCUAGGGUUUCUUUUUCCUUUUAAUUUUGUUUUGUGGAGGGCAUAAAACGGCACCGUUUGAGGCCUGUUCCAGUGGCUCCAAAAAGAUGCUGUAUAGGCUUUAACCGUGCGACCCGACCCGAUUGCCCCUGGGAUCCGCAUGUUUUAGCGGUGAGGGGAUAAUUACAUGAUGGCUCCUCCCCCUUUUGCAUGAGCAUUCAAUCGCGCUUCAUUUAUUUUGUGUCGUUUUUUUAAUUUGGUUCUGUAGUUCACGCAUGUUUGCAAAUGGGUCCAUGCCUUAGCGUAGCGUUUUGGGACAUGGAAAAUUUCCAGAUUUGAUCCCUGUUAAUUCGCACGCGUCGCACGUUGGUCCCUCUUGUCUUCCCAAUAAUUUAUUUUAUUUACAGAUCAUCCCUUUUAUUUUAAAUUUAUUUUAAUUAAGUCUGUUAUCUAUACAAUGUUUAUUUUUUUUUAAGGAAUUCGCUUAAAUCUUUUAUGUAUCAAGAUUAUUUUAUUUUGUAAAAAAUAUCAUUGCUUUAAAAAUUCCAUGUUAUAUUGUCCUAACAUUUUGUGUAAUAUUCCAUUUAAAUAUUUUUGUAUAUAUAUAUUUGUACAUGUAUGCUAUUUUAAUUGAACUUUCCAUUUAGAAUACUUAUUAUUUUAAAGUUCUUA
rnacentral:lncRNA from 1 species